AAGGUAAAUAAAAAAAGUGCCUAUUUUUCGUUUUAGUAAGAGAAUAGACUAAAUUUUCAGGAACACCUGUUGAUAUGCUAAAGUAGCAUCCGGGUUCCAGCCUGAUUAUUCCUUCUGUAAGGUCUUUCUAGUUGGAUAGGGCUUAAUUUUCUAUUUUGAUUGACGGGAUGUGUAUUAUUACGUCGCUAAUGAUAAAUAGGCUGAGUGAAGAGUUAUAUCAUAUGAUGCAAGAAGUAUGUAUUCAUAAUUUCAUAUUCAAACAAGAUUGCAGUAGCAUCUCAACACGAAGAGCCUUAGUUGGAUAAAGUUUCAAAUCUUUGCAGCGAGUUAGCUGAUGAUGUAAAACUGUUCCUGAUUAAGGCUCUUUGGAAUUGGAAUGCUAAAGCAUCCUCCUUUACGACACUAUAUUCUGAGCAAAAAGAAAAAAGUGUAUGUUUUGAAUAUGACGGUUGUCCAUUGAUUUGAGGAUCAUUUAGAAGAUCCGAUGAGGCCAGUGACUAGGGCCAGGCAUUCGUGAUUGCAAACCCCUCGUCCAUCCCUAUAGUUGUACAAUUUAUUUACAGGGACUAGGACCAGGACUAGGCGAUGAAAAUUCGCCAACUUUAUUAAUGUUGAGUUGGACCGCAUUUGUCGUCAAAUUAACGGGGCCAAAUUUCAGGUGGAAGGGCCAUCAGUUUUUGCAGCCACUAAGUAGAAGUUUUUCCUGAUAGAGAGCUGUAUCGUUGAGCCUUCAAAAUCUGAAUCUGUAUCGGUUUCGAUGGGGAAGGUUUGUACAUGGCGUUGGGUGCAAGGCACACAUCAGAAGCGAUGUAAAUAGCUGAACAAGUGAGUGAGUGUUGAUAAGAGAGUGUUUCUCGUGUGGUUUCUGCUCGUUGUAUUCUAAGCUUCUACUACCAAUGUACAGCUAUGCUUUUGAUUAAUUAAUAAUAAUGUUGUAUUAAGGUUUGGAGUUUUUUAAUCGGGAUCAAUCCGCAUUUCUUCUCCGUUGAAUGAUUGAAUGAUUGAAUGAAUGAAUGAAUGAAUGAAUUCUAAUCAGGAGUUACUAUAGGAAGAAAGAAAAAGAAAAGCGGCUGAUUAAUUUGGCGCUUAAUUCGUGUUGAUUAAGGCUACUUUGGUAUUGCUAUGUUUUUAAAAAAAACUAUUUCUAUUAUGCUGUAAGAAUAAACAGCUGUAAAAUGAAAUAGUGAUGUUAUUUUCACCCUAAUGUCUUAUCUUCCCACACCUUUUAAUGAAUUUUUUAAUUACAAAUUUGUUCAUUUACAAACAGACUGAUAAGAACAUUAAUUAUCUUGCUUUUCUUAAUUAAAAAAAAAAAACAAGUUGGGUCUACGAAAGAGGUAGAAGAUUAUGUUUCCAUUGAAAAUGUAGAAGAUUAUGUUCACGAAUUUAAUUAAAGAACUCUACAUAAUUCCCUACUUGGAUUAUGAGUAAUAACAUGGUAAAUCUAAUUUAUAUUCACAAUGUCUAAUGUGGAUAAUUCUCAUUCACUCGAAUCUAGAGUUCCAAACUAACCUUAUGGAAAUGAGCAAAAGUAAGGAUUACGGACCACUCAACGGAAUCCAACUAAAAUAUGGCACCUACCAAAAUGUACCAAGUACAACUAAUCACCUCCUAGAAUGCAUAUGGUCCCCCAUUGCGGAUAUACCAAGCAAAACCAUAGGCAUAAUUUACCCGUGUAGGCAGUGAUCACCCAUCGCGGAUAUACCAAGCAGGACAACAUCCUAACUCUAGGUAGUGAUCACCCAUCGCAGAUAUACCAAGCAUGAUCACUCCUAAAAUGCUUAUAGCCCCCCAUUGCAGAUAAACCAAACAGAACAAUAGGCAUAGUCUAAUAAUGUAGGAUCUUUGAUAUACCAAUCAUGAUCACCCCUAACAUAUGUACAGUCUCCCAUUGCGAAUAUACCAAGCAGGACUGUAUCCUACAGCUCUAGGUAAUGAUCACCUAUCGCAGAUAUACCAAGCAUGAUCACUCAUAGAAUGCGUAUGGUCCUCCAUUGCAGAUAAACCAAGCAGAACCAUAAGACCAUCUCCAAUGGUGGGCUAAAACCUAAAAUUUCCCUUCCCCCCCCCCCAAAUCCACUCCAACCCAUGACCUAAAAUAAACCUAAAACCUAAAACCCAAAUGGGGGUCAAAUUCCUGCCUAAUUUUAGGCCACAAAGCAAAAAGGGCCCCACCAACUAAGACUGAAACCAGGGCUAUAAAGCCCAUUUCCCAAAUCCUACACGUCUACGCGUUGCACGUGCUAGACUUUGCUUAAAUUUGGACAAGCCCACGUGGGGGUGUUCCCCCCGUUGUCAGACCAUCAAGUGGCCCAACGGCUACUUUUUAUCAUCCAACGACUACGUUUAAAUGGGUCGUUGGUUAAUCCAACAGUCCAGGUUCAAAUUAAUUUUUUUUAGUUUUAUAUUUAUAUAUUUAUUGAAUCCAACGGCUUAGAUCGAACAUAAUCAAAUCUAACGGUAAAAAAAAAGAUUUAGCGGUCCAAAUUUAAAUCCAACGGCUAAAAUAAUUUAAAAAAAAAUAUUUAACUUAAAAUUCAACCAAAAACUCUAUAAAUAUCUAUAUAUUUGUUCAAACAUUCACACAAAACUCACUUUUCUCCUACAAUUCUUCCAAUUUUUCUUUCUACCAUUUCUUCUCAUUUCCAAAAUUUUCAAGAUGGAAAAAGAGCAUGUUAGAGGUCUGUGAACACGGAAAAUUCCUGAAACGAAAGAGACAAGAACAACGUGCACAAACAAAUAUUUGUUUUUUGAUGAUUUUGGGUUACAAUCUCUCUCAAUUUUGAUCCUCUGAUUCGAUCUCCGUAAGGUGUUGAUUUGUGGAUGUUUCGUUGAUCCAAGGGCCGUUGAGGCUUGAUCUUGGAUGAACUGUUGGAAGUUUCUUCAAGGGGCCGUGGGCUUGAUCUUUGAAGGUGGAUUUGAGCGGAUCUUCAAGGAGCCGUUGGGGCUUGAUCUUGAGGAUGAGCGUUUCUUCAAGGGCCGUUGAGGUUUGAUCUUGAAUAACGGUGAUGAACGGAUCUUCAAGGGCUUUUGGGCUUGAUCUUGAAGAACAGUGAUGAACGGAUCUUCAAGGGCUUUUGGGCUUAAUCUUGAAGAACGGUUGGAUGUGUGGAUUUGUCGACGUUGUUGAUCCAAAGGGCCGUUGGGGCUUGAUCUUGGAUGAACGGAUGAUGAACGAUGAUGCUUUCUUCAAGGGCUGUCGGGGCUUGAUCUUGAAUUGAUGUAAGUUCUUCAAGGGCCUUUGGGGCUUGAUCUUGAAUUGGUGGAUGGUUGAUCCAAGGGCCAUCGGGGCUUGAUCUUGGAUUGGUGGAUGAUUGUUGAUCCAAAGGGCCGUUGAGGCUUGAUCUUGGAUGAGCUGUUGAACGAUGAACGAAGAACACUUUCUUCAAGGCCCGUCGGGGCUUGAUCUUGAAUUGGUGAUUGUUAAUCCAAGGGUCGUCGGGGCUUGAUCUUGGAAGAACGAUGAACGAAGAACGAAGAACGCUUUCUUGAUUCUUCGGGAACCUGGAUGCUUGAGAGCUUCGGAGUUUCAGAGCUUCAGAGCUUCAAGAAUUUUGUCUAAUGAUUUUGGUUCUUUAAAUGAAUGAAUUAGCCUUCUAUUUAUAGAAUUUUCCAAGGCCUAAUUUUGAAUAUAAUAUUCCAGAUGAAAUAAGUCGUUUCUGCCAGGUGUUGACACGUGUCCUGUUUGAUGACUUUUCCAACUUAUUUCAAUUUUUUGUUUAGACACACGCUACGUGUAAAAUUUAUGUAAUACAUGAGCGUUGAAACUUUGAUUUAUCGGUCAACAUUUAUUUACCGAAAUUUCGAUGUCUACAAAUGCCCCCACUUCAAGGCGCGUCGUAUACAUGUGCUUGUCACGUGUAGGAGAUGCGUUUUGAAGUCCCUUACUGUAAAUGUCGAUCCAAGGGCCAUCGAGGCUUGAUCUUGAAUUGGGCUGGAUAUUUCUUCAAGGGCCGUUGAGGCUUGUUCUUGGACUUUGUUUGAGAUUUCUUCAAGGGCCGUUUGAGGCUUGUUCUUGAACUUUUGUUUGAAAUUUCUUCAAGGGCCGUCGAGGCUUGAUCUUGAAGGUUGAAAUUGGACCACAAGGAGCUUCAUGUGGUAGAUGAUCUUUGGCUUUGGUAGUGGAUGAAUUGGCACGUAUUUUGUUGCGCUUGUUGUCUUUCCACAGCUUUGAUCUUGAACUGGGUUGGAGGAUUUUCUGGAUUCCUCCAAUUGUUGAUUUUCCACAGCUUAUUCUUGAACUAGGUUUUGAUUCAAGAGUGGUAGACACUUGAUCUUGAAUCAGACUUGUGAUUUCCUCAAGGGCCGUCGAGGCUUGAUCUUGAAUUUGGCUGGAAGCUUCUUCAAGGGCCGUUGAGGCUUGAUUCUUGAAGGUUGACUCGAACACAUGGCAAGCAGGCACGAGGUGAAGGUGACGACUUGUUGCUUUGUUCAAUCUUUCUAAUUCACACCUGAGCAGUUUGGUCAACGGUAUGAUCUUCAAGAUUGAUGGGCUCUUCUUCCAGUUGGUGACUUGAUCUUACUAGACUUGAUCACAACGCCUAGUAAGCUGACCCAAGAAUUUGAGGGUCAAAACGAAUUCACCGUCCAGAAUGAUUGCAACCCUGAUGAUAUGAGAUACUUUUGAUUUUGAAGAAGUAGCGGAUGACUCAGCACGUGCUUUGUUGCACUUGUCUCCACAUGCUUCAAGGUAUCAUUUUCAUUUCCUUUAUCUGUUUCUCAAGCAGAUGUGGCAUCUUCUUGAGUUCCUCAUCUGAGACUCCUUCUGCUGAGUUGACUGUGCGUGCUGCAUUCUUCUCUGCUUGUUUCUUCUGCACGUUGUCUCCACGUGCUGCAAGGUAUCAUUUUCACUUGCCUUAUCUGUUCUUCAGGCAGAUGUGGCAGCUUCUUUGGAAGUACAGCAGCAGUGGGAGACGAGUACUCGAGAGCAGUGCUAGGUAGGCAAUCAAGGAAGGGUUCCCAGCAGUCGGUUCCUUACCCGAGUUUGAGUGGAAGUUCCGGCAUAUUGUUUUCUUUAUCCUUGUCUUUGUAGGUAGGAACAAGGACAAAGGAAAGGACAGGGAGAACGCAUGAUAUGAGAUACUCUUGCUUUCUACCCUGGUGAUAUGAGAUACUUUUGCUUUGGAGUCAUUGGCUUGCAGAUGUACCCCAAGGAAUAAGGAACACUGAGUGACCCGAGAGGCUUCGUUGGGAAGGCAUUCUCGGAGAUGAGGAAAGGUUAUGUAUGUCUGCCUUGCUAUGAAGGGUGAAGGUGGAAAUUUAUAUGGAUUAAUAACCGGUACUGUUCUUUCACUCUUGUCGGCAACCGUUGGAUGAUUGAACAGUAAACUUCACGUGUUUUCUCCUUCACCGAAAAUCUUCGACAAAUUGCCCGUGAUUUGCGCAAAGUUGAGUGUGCAUAUGACAGGUGUCGACGCGGCUGAAAAAGAUUGGCGCCUCUUCGAUAACUGGGAUCGGUGCUGCGACAAAUUACCCGUGAUUUCCUCAAAGCUGAGUUUGCGUGUGACGGGUGCUGACGCGUCUGGAAAAGCAAGAUGCCUCUCCGAUUUCUGAGCUUGCCUCUUAGAUUUUUUGAAUUGGCCUCUUCGAAUUCUGAGCUUGCCUUUUCGAUCUCUAAAAUCCCGUCGAAUGCUGAUUUUUAUAGAGGCAUGCAGUUUGUUUCAAAGCACACUUGAAUUUUUUUGCUUGUAGAAACUCCCUUUUUGCACUUCUAAGAUCUUGAUUUGUCCGAUCUUCUUCUUUCUUUCAACACUUUUGAAAAUGUCUGGCCCCUCCGACCGUCGUCUUGACUUGAACCUUGGUGAAGAGGCAGUCCCGCCUUCCCCAGACAACAUAUGGCGCCUAUCCUUCAUAUCCCCUACUGGUCCUCUUACCGUUGGGGAUUCGGUGAUGAAGAAUGAUAUGACUGCUGCGAUGGUGGCCCGGAACCUUGUCACUCCCAAAGAUAACAGACUACUCUCCAAACGGUCUGAUGAGUUGGCUGUUAAGGAUUCUCUGGCUCUCAGUGUGCAGUGUGCAGGUUCUGUGUCUAAUAUGGCCCAACGCCUAUUUGCUCGAACCCGUCAAGUUGAAUCAUUGGCGGCGGAAGUAAUGAGUCUCAAACAGGAGAUUAAAGGGCUCAAGCAGGAGAAUAAAUAGUUGCAUAAGCUCGCACAUAGCUAUGCGACAAACAUGAAGAGGAAGAUUAACCAGAUGCAGGAAUCUGAUGGUCAGAUUUUACUUGAUCAUCAGAGGUUUGUGGGUUUGUUCCAGCAGCAUUUGCCUUCGUCUUCUGGGGUUGUACCGCAUAAUGAAGCCUCAAAUGAUCAACCUUCGGUGCCUCCUCCUCCUGGGGUUCCGCCGAGUACUGAGGCGCCACCCGAUCGUCCUUGAAGAUCCCUUAUUGUAAAUUUGAUUUGAUUUGAUUUGAUUUUUUUUUUAAGGUAUGUAUAAUGCAAAUUUAUGUAAAAUUUCCAGAAAAAUAAAUAAAAUGGACUUCUAUUUCUCUCAAUGCUUUUUUUUUUUUUUUUUUUUUUUUUUUUUUUUUUUUUUUUUUUUUUUUUUACUUUCUGUGGUGCUCACACCACCACCACCAACUAGAUGAUGGCCACCAUAAUCAUACCGCACCAUAACCCUUUCUCUCUUUUUUUUUAUUUUUAUUUUUUAUACAAUGCUUUUGGCGCCAUGACAUAUAUAUAAUACAUACCCACCAUGCCAGAUGCACCAUCCCUUUAUAUAUAUAUAUUAUUAUAUUAUUAUUUUUUUAUUAUUUUUUUUUCUUUGCAAAUGGUGCCUGAUGCACCCCUUUUUUUUUCACGUGGUGGCAGCACCACUUUGCUCCACCAUCCCUUUUUUUUAUUAUAUAUUUUUCUGUAUAAAUUUAGGUGAUGGGUAGAGGAAUUUGCAGGGAGCGGAGCAAGGAGGAGAGGGUGGGGAGCUGGAGAGGGCUUCGGAGCACCGGUGCUUCAGCCAUGGAGGGCACGGGGUCAAGCUUGCUGCUGCGAUCGGGGGAGGUGCAGUUGCUGCAGCCAGUGGAAGCCUCGAAACAACGAUGGGCAACAGCCGCAGCGAUCUGACAACGAGUAGUAAGGAGACGAAGGCAGCUAGCAAUACAUAUCAGGGAUGGAGAAAACAAGGGCUCGAAGCUGUUGAAGAUCUCGAUCGUGCAACCCUUCUGAAACCUGAUAAUGCAGCCGAAGACCUGCGGAUACUAGGCAGAGUAGGUGCCAUUAGAGUUCGAGGCAAAGCAAGGAGGCACGUAAUGUCCAGUACCUCAGGCAUGGUCAAGCUCGGGGCAAGGCGGAUGAGGAGAUUUUGACGUCAGCGUUGAUCAAUGGUUAGUGCUUGCAAGUAUCUCCAUUGGUGAAGAAGGAGGAGCGCACCAUGGUUGGUCAAUUUGAAAAACUUACAGCAGCCAUGUCGAAGGCUACGGCAGCGUGAAUGACGACCUGCUGAGAGAGCUUGAAAAAUACUUCUGGGUCUCGAGCGCGGAGAUGAUCAUGGUGGAUCCAGGCUCUCGUACAUCCCAAACACAUAGAGUGCAGUCGUCGGAGGUGACUACAUCGGCGUGGCGGGGGUUCCCUACGACGGAGUAGACGCAGUAUGCCUGUUCCUUGAAGGUUCGGAUCGAGGCAGGGUAGUCAAAGGUCUAGACACUGAUGAAUCGCCACGAGGAAGGAGCUUGGCAUCCAGGUGUGACCAAAUUCAUAAUCCGAACGCAAUUUCUCAGCCAGAGCUGAGAAGUUAUUAUAUGCCUCUCCUGAGACAUUCCUCAUCGCCACCACGUAAUCCUCCGAGCCGGCAGUUUCCGCCGAGAACCCAAUUCCGGGGUCGCACCAAACAUCCUGAAAUCCAUACAAGUUGUAGAAUUUAUACCAAAGUUGGCUCGUAUUUCUUCAUGCUCACCUCUGUGCAACUAGAGGUGUAGAGGAAUCGAACGAAAUGGUGUCGACGGUUCGUCUAGCGGAGAUGGGCGCUUGGGAGUGGUGAAGGGGCUUUGAGAGCCGGGCCCGGAUUUGUAUCUGGUGGGCAAGGAAGGAGAUGGGCCUGGGCUGCAUCUAAUGGCAUCAACCGGUUCUGGGCUUCUGGGCCUGUGCUCGAUGACGAACCUGUUGUUCGUCUGCGUGUCAUUCUGCUGCUGGGCCGAGACAUACAUAUAUACACUUUUUUUUUCUUUUUGUAAUAAAAUUGACUCUAUUUAAUAAAACAUUUAUUUUUUUUAUUUUGAUGUGACUGAACUUGAAAUUGAAUAUUCAAGCUACCUACGUACCCUUCCAAAGAAAGAGAUCAAGUCAAAACGUAGUUCAAAUGAGCGAUGAAUUUAACAAUGAUUUUGAUGAUGAUUUUGUCGUACACAAUUUAUGCUUUUGUGGGCCAGGAGUUUUGGUUGGUUCGUCAAGCGAUCUGAGAGAGUCGUUCCUCGCAAUCUUCAUAGCAAGGAGCCUUGACUGAGUAGUUGAAGAAGUCUUCUGGGAAGAUGUCACGCACCGUGAUGGGGAUGGACGAUCUUCGUGUCAAAGUUUCAUUAUCUCCAACACUUUCACAUUGUUCUGGAAGUGAACAGGAGCUGUUUUGCCCCCUUUCCCAUUGAUGAACUUGUGGAGAAGACAUAUGCUUCUUGUGCAGUUUCUUCGGAGUGACAUAAGUCCAUCCUUCAACUUCACUCGACUUGACUGGCAUGGUUUUGGAGCAUGCCCCCAGCGAUUGAGGUGAAGAUUUUGAGUUGACAGAGCCGGAAGUGACGUCUUCUUCCAGGAUUUCGUCUUCUUUGUCUUCUUAGGCCUCCUCUUCAGUGCGGUCCUCUUGGGUUUGUUGUCGUGAAGAUUGGCCAGUGUAGAUGAUGGUGCGCCUCCUUACCUUCAAUGGUCCUGUUGUGUCGACUUCCAAAGUUGCUUGGCGCUUCAUCCUUGAAGGAAUCAAGCUUUGAACAUCGUCUUUUCUUGCUAGACUGUCGAGCUUUUCUCCCUUUGGCGUUGUCUUCCUGUUUCUAGAAGGCUUCUUAGUUUCUUCAAGUCUGUCCAAAGCCGACUGUUGCGGAGGAGAUCUAGCUGUGCCGCUUUGUUUCUUGGGUUUUGAUAACCUUUCAAAGACAGAUCUUUGCGGUGUUGGCGUCUCAAGCCUUUUGAAGACGGAAGUUUGGUCUCGACCACUGAUGCGAUCAAGUGCCGAAAUUCUAGGUUUUGAAUAAUUCAGCCUGUCGAAGACUGAAGUUCGAGGGGCGGGUUUAGGCUCCUCUUUUGGCCUUGUGGCUUGUGGUCUUGGCUUCCUCAUUUUUUUGUAGGUCGUUGAUGUCCACCCUUUCUUAUCACCAGUAGAUGCAUCUUGGUUGCUUGCCCCCGGUGAUGGUUGUGUAGGAGGUGCCAUGUGACUUGAACAUUGACGGGAAUGGUCAUGCAUGCUUUGGAGAUGCAUAGGAUCGAGUGAUUCAAACACAAUAGUAGUAGUGUGUGCUGCAACCAUGUCUUCGAGGUCAAGCUCAAUUUUCCCUUGUUGUGCUAGCUUUAGGAUGAGAUCUUUCAGUACGAAGCACUUUUCCGUUGGAUGGCUGAUGAAGCGGUGGAAUUUACAGUAUCUUGGGCUGUCGGUACGAUUCAUCUCUUCCGGCCGUCUGCACUCAGGCAAACUGAUCACCUUCUUGUCCAACAGGUCAUCCAGCAUGGCAACCACAUCAGAGUUGGGGAAUGGAUAAGUCUUCUCCUCAAGCUCCUUCAAAGUGCGUCUACGCAUCUCUUGAUCAUGAAAAGCUUUAGUUUGAAUCGCCUUGCCUCGUGUGGAGAUUUUGACGGGAGAUGUGUUGACCGUCAUUACUUCCUUGGUGGAUUUCCACGCAGCCUUCUCCACCUUUGUCUCAAGAACUUUGUCAUUCUUGUAGUCGGCGAUCGGUUCCUUCUUCCCAUGAUAGGCGAUGCUUAACUCCAUGUCAUGGGCGCGGGUGGCUAGCUCUUCGAAGGUCCGUGGUUUGAUGCCUUGAAGGAUGUAUUGCAAACCCCAUUGCAUGCCUUGGAUGCACAUCUCGAUUGAAGAGGUUUCCGAGAGCCUAUCUUUACAGUCGAGGCUUAGAGUGCGCCAUCUGUUGAUGUAGUCAAUGACUGGCUCGUCCUUCCACUGCUUUGUGCUUGUUAGCUCUAGCAUGCUCACAGUGCGGCGAGUGCUGUAGAAGCGGUUGAGGAAUUCCCGCUCCAAUUGCUCCCAGCUGUUGAUGGACUCAAGGUCUAGGUCCGUGUACCAUUCAAAGGCGUUUCCUUUUAGCGAGUGCACAAACUGCUUGGCGAGGUAGUCCCCUUCGGUCCCUGCGUUGUUGCAAGUUUCAACAAAGUGGGCAAUGUGCUGUUUCGGGUUUCCCUUUCCAUCAAAUUGCAUGAACUUUGGCGGUUGAUAACCCUUUGGCAUCCUUAAGGCGUCGAUCUUCUUUGAAUACGGCUUCGAGUACAACCCGGAGGUAUUUGAGCUCCCUUCGUACUGUGCCUUGAUGGUGUUGGUGAUCAUCUCUUGCAGCUGUUGGAUAGAAAGAGAUCCCAUGAGUGCCGCUACUUGGUCUGGCUCCGGCUUUACAUCGUUUUUCUCCACCUGAGGCUUUUCUUCUUCGUCAUCUCUUCUCUUUAGUGGAUCAUUCUCUGGGUCGGGUUUAUCGCCGUCCUGCGCCUCCAAUCGGUUGACUAGUGCUGCAAUUUGCAAGUCUUUUUCUUCCACAGUUCGGGUUAGCCUUGCGAUUGCUUCAUUCAUUUGAGCCAGCUGCUCAUCGAUUGAAGUUGCUCCAAUGGUCAUGACUUGCAUGGCUGAACUGCCGCUUGAAUCGGCAUCGGAGAGCAUGGAUUCAGAGUAUUUCCUUGGGCUUUCCCCCCUUGGUGCCCUUACUGAGGCUAAGGUGAUCAAAGGCUCGUGCCUUGGGUGCUUUUGUUCCCUUGGCAGAGUUGAUGCAGAGGUGAAAGAGGCGGCAGAAGUAGCUCUUGCCAUGCUUCGAGUCGUGAUGGCCAAAGUGACACCAAUUGCGACGAGGACGCUCUUGUUCUUUGCGCCGGUUACGGGAACAGUUUGAGCCUUCCUUGAUGCCAUUAAUUUUGGAAGUGCGCUUGAAUUUCUUGAACGGAGAAAGAGAUGAAAGGCAGAGAUUAUCCCACCGGGCGUGCCAAUUUAUGAACACGGAAAAUUCCUGAAACGAAAGAGACAAGAACAACGUGCACAAACAAAUAUUUGUUUUUUGAUGAUUUUGGGUUACAAUAUCUCUCAAUUUUGAUCCUCUGAUUCGAUCUCCGUAAGGUGUUGAUUUGUGGAUGUUUCGUUGAUCCAAGGGCCGUUGAGACUUGAUCUUGGAUGAACUGUUGGAAGUUUCUUCAAGGGGCCGUGGGCUUGAUCUUUGAAGGUGGAUUUGAGCGGAUCUUCAAGGAGCCGUUGGGGCUUGAUCUUGAGGAUGAGCGUUUCUUCAAGGGCCGUUGAGGUUUGAUCUUGAAUAACGGUGAUGAACGGAUCUUCAAGGGCUUUUGGGCUUGAUCUUGAAGAACAGUGAUGAACGGAUCUUCAAGGGCUUUUGGGCUUAAUCUUGAAGAACGGUUGGAUGUGUGGAUUUGUCGACGUUGUUGAUCCAAAGGGCCGUUGGGGCUUGAUCUUGGAUGAACGGAUGAUGAACGAUGGUGCUUUCUUCAAGGGCCGUCGGGGCUUGAUCUUGAAUUGGUGGAAGUUCUUCAAGGGCCUUUGGGGCUUGAUCUUGAAUUGGUGGAUGAUUGAUCCAAGGGCCGUCGGGGCUUGAUCUUGGAUUGGUGGAUGAUUGUUGAUCCAAAGGGUCGUUGAGGCUUGAUCUUGGAUGAACUGUUGAACGAAGAACGAAGAACACUUUCUUCAAGGGCCGUCGGGGCUUGAUCUUGAAUUGGUGAUUGUUAAUCCAAGGGUCGUCCGGGCUUGAUCUUGGAAGAACGAUGAACGAAGAACGAAGAACGCUUUCUUGAUUCUUCGGAAACCUGGAUGCUUGAGAGCUUCGGAGUUUCAAAGCUUCAGAGCUUCAAGAAUUUUGUCUAAUGAUUUUGGUUCUUUAAAUGAAUGAAUUAGCCUUCUAUUUAUAGAAUUUUCCAAGGCCUAAUUUGAAUAUAAUAUUCCAGAUGAAAUAAGUUGUUUCUGCCAGGUGUUGACACGUGUCCUGUUUGAUGACUUUUCCAACUUAUUUCGAUUGUUUGUUUAGACACACGCUACGUGUAAAAUUUAUGUAAUACAUGAGCGUUGAAACUUUGAUUUAUCGGUCAACAUUUAUUUACCGAAAUUUCGAUGUCUACAAGGUCGUAAUUGGACCUUUGACGAAGAUAUUGCUUUAUGUUUGGCAGGGAUUUCUGUUAGCGAAGAUGGUGUCGUCGGCAUGAAUCAAAAUAGAAAGGUUUUGUGGAGUAAAAUCGUUGAUAAGCUCCAUAAAAAACUCCAACGCCAAUCGAAGGGAAGCUGGUAGUGUUUAUGAUCGGUGGAAGAUUAUCAACAAAGCGUGCACUUUGUGGAAGCGAAGCUUGGAGAGAGCCAUGGUUGACAUGCCUAGUGGAAGGGGCGCCUCAAAAAUUGUGAGUUUCUUUGUUGAUAUUUUAGUUGUCAUGUAAGUAAUAGUAUUUUGCAACUAAUUGUUUUUAUAUAUUUGUUGCAACAAUUUACAAGACAAGAACUACACCAACAAAUCAAGCUUUUAAGUUGCAUCAUGCUUAGAACAUCAUCAAGGAUUAUCCGAGGUGGGGAACCGAUGCGGACCAACAAUGGGGAAGAUUAUUUCAUAGAGAAGCCUCACCCCCAAAUGAUGUCAAUGAAGGUGUGAAUUUUGCCGACAAUGAAGGUGUCGAACAAAUGACACCAACUUCUUUUGCCAAGCCCCUGGGUAGAGAUAAGCAAAAGGAAGCAAAGAGAAAAGGGAAGUCCCAAGAUCCAAUACGUGCACAAUUUGCUAGCGAAAUGGUAAGAAUGAAUGAAAACCAUAUCUCUCGGCAAGAAUAAUUGGCCCAAAUGCAUUUGGCCAUGAAGGAACAAGGGGAUAGAGAGCAAGAACGGUUCGAAAUUAAUUUGACGAUGAAGGACCUCGACAAAUACACUCCAGAGAGGAAGAAAUACUUACGUGGUAAGCAAAAGGACAUUUUACGAAGAGAUGCCACAAAGAGUAUAUUUCAAGAUGACGAUUCGUCUCAAGACUAUCACCCAAGUCCAUCACCAAGUCAAGAUGGUGGAUAUCAUUAUUAAGUUUAUGAGUUUUCGAUUGUAUUAAGUUUAUGCGGUUUAUUAAUUGUCUUUUUUUUUUUUAAGUUUAUGUGGUUUAUUAAUUGUCAUUUGUAUUAACUUUAUGUGGUUUAUCAUGAUUUUCAUGUAUUGAUUUAGUGAUUUUUCAAAAUUUAUCGGAAUUUUAAAUAUUUUUAGGUUAAAAUGUUCAUAUAAUUAAUUUAGGAUAGUCUACAUAAUUUUUUUUUAAGUUAAUUUAAAAAAAUAGCCUUAAUUCAUUCUUUGAUAAUCUCGAGCUAAAAUUUUAGGCCAGAAGAGUUGGAGCAGAAAAGCUGUUUUUGGGCUAAAACCUAAAUUUUAUGGUCUAAAUAUUUUUAGGUUUUAGGUCACCAUUGGAGAUGGUCUAAGCAUAGUCUAAUUGUGCAGACGGUGAUCACCCAUCGCGGAUAUACCAAACAAGAAAACAAUUCCAUUCCUUUCAGAUUUUAUAUGUAUAUAUAAGUAUUCGUUCAACUUUAGACAUAUGCAAAAGUUCUAAUAAUGUUAAACCAAUGAGACCUUAAUUAGAUAAUCAAUACAUAUAACAAUUACCAUAUAUGCUUACAAAAUCUAUAUCCAUAAGCAACAAGGCCAUUGCCAAUAAAAAUGUCUAAAUCCAACAACAACAAUCUAAAAAACCAUACAUGCAUACAGAAACUGUACUUAUAUAUGUCACACCAUCAUAGAACAUGCACACCAGAUCAAAGAAGGCAACAGAUUCUUAGCACAAUUAUUACAACUAGCACAUGGUAUGAUUUUGUAAAAAUACAACCUAAUAUUAUGAGAGUGACAGUUAAAAGAAAGUCAUGCAUCCCUUAAUAAAAGAGUCUCCUAUAUAAAUGUUGAGUGCAACCAAAUAUAUCUAUAUCUCUAAUUCUCUCAUUGCAUGUGCAAUUACACAAUAUAGUCUCUCUAGCAGGAACAUUCACAAAAUCAAUACUAUUAGAGGCUAUUACCAGGUACAACAAAAGAACACACAAAACGAGAGAAAAUAGUAACAUUACAUAUUGGAAUGCUAUUGGUAUGAUGGCUAUGUGGUAUUUUUCUCAAACCCUCUAUAGCAUCAGAAAUUAUAAACUUUUGGAAUGUGCUUUUAGCUUAUCAAAUAAGCCUACUAUAGUCAUAAUUCAACUCCACUUUUCAUCAUAAUUACCAAAUUUAUGAUUAAGAAAAAUACAGUAAAAGCAUAAUCAUAUAUUUCAUAUUUUCACUAAAAACUUGAACCUGGGGUAUAAAUGGCAAGGUUAGGCCACCCAUUGGCCCCAUUCUAGCAGCUUGAGGUUGAAGAAUCACCAUUUUGCAAGCCCAAACAACUCCCUGGAUUCCCAUUGCUUUGAUCAUGCUCUGAGAUUUUCGAUUCCUCCCCUUCUUGAGACUUGGAGUUGAUGAGAUAAUGUGGGAGUAGAAACAGAGAGAGUUUUAGAGAGUUCCUACGAAAGAGAGUGAGGGUUUCUUCCCCCCUUCCCCCCAAGCUAAGAGAGAACCCGAAACCAAAGAGGGGCAUGGACCCCAGUGAACCCAAAUAACCAAUAAAUUUAUCUAGAAAUGGAGGGAUUUUACCAAAAAUGCCCUUGACUUUAAAAUCCUGUAAAAACUUGUUCUAAAACCAAAUCUCGUUCCGCUUGAGCCCACGGGUUCCUAGCAAUGAGUACUAAAAUAUUAUACUUAGUGUGACUUCGUAAGGUCUACGAAUUUUUUAACAAUCAAUGACCAAAAUUCAAACUUCGUAAUUAGUUUAAGUAAAAUCUAGAAUUAUUAAAAUUAAAAUAUAGUCCAGAAAAUAAUAGAGAGUCCUACUAAUACAUAAUACGUCAAUUACAAUAGUGAAAUUUAGGAACGGAAUUUCACAGUAAGUUUGUAAAAUAUAUAUGGGUAUACUUGCCAUUUGAAAAUUCUUUAAUUGGGCACUAAUAUGCUUUGAAAAAAAAACAUUGUUUUUAGAAACAUGGUAGACCCUACUUCUAUUUUUAUACUGUCAUUGACAGCAGUUUAAAAAAAUACAUUUUUAUUUAUUUUACCAAACACAUUUGAUGUUUCAGAUUUUUUAAUAAGCUUCUUUUUUUAAAGCACCACAAUCACAAACCAGUCCUGAGUAGUUAGCUGAACCGAAUUGGAUAAACCACGUAAGGAUUGGUAUCGACAUUUCACGAUAAAUGUUUACAUGAAGGCAUUGUUAGAAGAAGGAAAAAAAAUUUGGUAAGUUUUACAUGUAGCAAACAUGCACUUCUCAUUUCAAGCAUUAGAAGAUGGGAACGUUCUCUUUCGAAACGACAUGGGAUGUAAACGUUUUGGCCCUUUUGGAAUGUUGAAAACCAAAGAGUACCCCCACUUUUUGUGUUUAAAAGCAGAAAUCCAUUCGACUCAGGCAUUUCUCUCCAAUUCAUGUUUCUUCUUCUCAAACCCUACCGAUUCUUUUAGUCAGAUUUCAAGAAAUUCCUUUUAUUUCUCAGUAAAAUUUAAUUACCCUUUUGUUCUCAAACCGUUUCACCAUGCCGGAUUUGCUCACUUUGCCGUCCGGACAAGCGUUUGUGGUUGGAAGAGUUGGGACCCAAAUUAUAUACUACCAUGUUCUUGAUGCGUUUGGAGAGAUGUUGUUCGAAGAUCAAGAAAAUGCCAUAUUCAUUGUUUGGGUCAAAACGUAAUUGAGACAUACUGGUUGUAUUUUUCAAAUAGUUCAAUUUUGUAAAUGUGAUUUAAUUUGGCUUAUUUUCUAGAUAAAUUGUAAUUUAUAUUUAAUUCAGUAUGUAAUUGAUCUUGCAAUUCUCAUGCAAGAUCUCAUGUCAAUUAGUUUUAUUAGUCCAGCCUAUUAGGAUUAGAUUGGUUGGUCAAAGAUGGUGGCAAUCACAUCAAUUGAUUGUUGGAGAAAAUAAAGGGAUUGGACGUGAAGAUUAAUUGAGGAAGGACUUUCUAGUCCCAGAAAAGUGUGUAAGGUUACCUAUUUAAUAGGCCCUUCACACUCAAAGGAGGACAUCUUUUGCAACGCAGAAUAUCCAUAUUGCAUUUGAGUGAGCAAAGGAAGUUGUUCUGCACUUCGUUCAAAUCCAACUGUGUGCAACCCUGUUGUGUGCAUCAGACGUUCGAGAUUGAGAGGACAAGGCUCACUAGGUUGUGUACCUGGGUCUCGUAUGAAUCUUGUAAAGUCUUCAUCUUUUCCUUAGUGGAAUAUUGUUGGCAAUCUUGCCCAAGGGGUUUUCCUUUCUGAGGUUUUUCCGCUUGUAAAGCUAAUUCUUGUGUGUUUGGUAUUUUGCUAUUUUGCUUUGUCUUUGUUAGUUCUUUGCAUAGAAUGGGUUUAAAAUUGACAUUCAAUCUUUUAGUUUGAAUUCUUGGUUUUACUUUACAUUUUCAAUUGGCACCAGAGCAGGUCUCUAGAUACACUUAGAGUGGAUCCUAGGGAACGUGGGAUGGACCGGGGUGUUGGUUCUGUCUCUCACCCUUCAUACUUCAAUGGGGAGAAUUAUGGAGAUUGGAAAGCAAAGAUGAAGUCUUUUUUUAUGGGCUUUAGAUGAUAGGGUUUGGAGUACAAUGGUCCAUAGGCAUACUUUGCCCACAAAAAUUGUUAAAAUUAAUUACAAAAAGAAGUCUUCUGAUAGCAAAGAUGUAGUAGAUGAUGUUAGUGAAGUUGUUGUUCCUACACCUAGGGAAGAGUGGACUACUGUUAAGGUCACACACUCCACUAAUAAUCAAAAAGGGUUGAAUGCUUUGUUUAAUGUUGUUUUUCCUGAUCAAUUUAUUUUCAUGCGUAAUUGUGAAACUUCCUAGGAAGCAUGGGACAUUUUGCAGGACACAUAUGAAGGAAUAGUAACAGAGAACGAGGCAAAGCUUGAAGUGUUCACUUCACAAUUUGAGAGAAUCAAGAUGGAAGAAGAUGAGACCUUUCCCGAGUUCUAUGCAAAACUGUGUGAAAUUGUCAACAAUUGUUAUAGUCUUGGUGAGCAAAGGAAGUUGUUCUGCACUUCGUUCAAAUUCAGCUGUGUGCAUCAGACAUUUAAGAUUGAGAGGACAAGGCUCACUAGGUUGUGUACCUGGGUCUUGUAUGAAUCUUGUAAAGUCUUCAUCUUUUCCUUGUGGAUUAUGGUUGGCAAUCUUGCCCAAGGGUUUUUCUCUCUGAGGUUUUUCCCCUUGUAAAGCUAAUUCUUAUGUGUUUGAAAUUUUUCUAUUUUGCUUUGUCUUUAUCAGUUCUUUGCAUAGAACGGGUUUAAAAUUGACAUUCAAUCUUUUAGUUUGAGUUCUUGGUUUUACUAUACAUUUUCAAAUAUAUUUUUAAUCUGCAAUCGAUUUAGGGUCCAACAUAUUCCUCUUAUGUUUUUGGAUACCUCAAAGUCAUACGGCGCCGGAAUGUGGAUCUAAGGGCGAUGACAUUUCACUAUUGGCCCAAACCUGCCAGCACCUCCUUGAGUUUUCUGAUAUGCACGCCAAGUCUGGUGGACAUGCUGUUGAACCAAUUCAUGUUCUCUCAAGAUCGAUUCCAUUUCAUGACAAAUGGAAAUCUGAACAUAUUGAGAGGAUGUGAAUUGGCAGCCACCAGACUUGGCAUGCAUAUGAGAGAAACCUCGGAGGUGUUGCUUGUUUUUGACCAAAAAUGAAAUUUCAUCACCCCUUACAUUCGACAUCCAGAGACGCGUAUCCAAAAAUAUUCGAAAAUUCUGUUCAACGCAAAUGGAAAAAAUUGGACCCUAAAUUGAUAGCAAAUUUCUCAUUCCAUAGGCCUAAAAAAGUGAACACGAUUUUUUGAAGUGUGGACCGAUUGUUGUUGCACUGCAUUUAUGGAAAAGAAAUUUGGAAUUACGUUUCGAACCCAAGCAAUGAAUAUGGCGUUUUCUUGAUCUUUGAACACCAUAUCUCCAACCUUGUUGCCAGUCAGGUGCCAUACAAUCUCUGUUAUUUUCUCUUUUCCCGUAGUAACAUCAAUCAUUUUCUUGUUAUAUUUAUUUUCCAGAAUCGUACAUCUUGUUGCCGCAUAUUGUCUAAUCUGAAGGACUAGUAACUAACCAUUUGCUGAUCUUGACUGUUGUCACGCUAUUAAUAGGCAGGGAGGGACGGUUGUGUCUAAUUGUGCUACGGGGUCACCUAUAAAUUGUAAUGUCUUCAGAUUUAGGUGUAAUUGACCUAGGCACAUUGUAUCAAGUGCAAACAGUUGACUGGAUACUGCUCCUUCUGCUGCUGCUGAUGCCGACGCUCGACUCACAGCUCAUUGGUACCGGUAUCUGGAAUUGAUCGGGAGUUGAUGUAGCUGUGCCGUGUGCACCAGCUAGUCAUGAGCUUUGUGGUAAAUUCAUGCGUCAUAACCCGGCCGCCUCAGGGUGUAGAUAUUAGAGCAUUUGAAUCUCGUGCCUAUUUCUGUACCUAGUGUUAAUCGAGAAACUGUUGGACCCGAAUGUAAUGGAAUGUCUGUUGGGGAUAUGAUGAGAUUGAUUUAUGUUUAUCUAUUAAUCGUUGUUUUCUUUUCUUUCUUCCUAGAUUCUUAUAUCUGAAAUGUUUCUUCACAAAAACAUUAGUCGACCAGCAGCCAGAAAACCAGGGAACAGAAGAGGUCUACUUUUCACCUGCAACAUCAAACAUUCCAAAUGGUCUACAUCACCCUAGUCUAAAUUUAGGGGCCAACAAACAGUCGCUUGAGGAAGCACGGAGGAGAAAAGCCUCUCCCAGAAGCUUACCAUGGUGUUCAAGGUAAGAAUACUCUUGCUGCUCGUUUAUUCAAAUAUCAUUGCAAAGGAAAUAUGAAAGAAAACCAAGAUAAGUGGUCUUUGCGUUUCUAAGGAACUCAUUAGGCUAAGCAACAAGCAUUCUCCUUAUUAAUCUUGGCUUCUCUGGAUGAUGAUCUAAUUUCCACUCUAUUUUUAGACUGGUUGCUAAUCUAAUCCAACCAAGGGCGUUUUCUAAUCUCAAGUGCUUUAGGUGUUGCAAUAAGUUUCGUUGUGUUGUUAUCUUGGUACCCAUCCCCCCACCCCUCCCCCCGCCUCGCAUGAGUUAUUGAUCAGAUGGAAAGUUAUUGUGUCUAGAUUCUAGAAGCAGGUUUCAAUCAUGCUUGUUAUGUUCGACUAUACUCAAAUACCAUUCGUUUGGGAUUUGGAUAGAGUUUUCUUUAACAUCUGCAUUUCCUGAUUUAAGCUGCAUCCAACUUUAAAGCUUCAUUAUGAUUUUCUUUAUUCUUAAGUAUAUAGUGGAGGUUUUAAAGCAUGACAUUGUUUGUUUAACGUGCAACAGACAUCGGUAUCAUUGACAAGUUGGUGGAUAUUUACCUACUUUUCUUCUGAUUUUAGAUGCAUUCGACUUUGAGGGGAUUUUGUGCUGCUGAGUUAUGGUUUUGUUGCUUUCUGUUUCUUCUGAUUUGGUUCCAUUUUAUCUCUUUGAGUGUGUUUUUACGCUCCAAUUCGGAUGAGUUUUGCCUUCAACUACGGUAUCCAAACAAAAAAGAGGGAGAACCAUCUAAAAAUAUUGAAAGUUCACCCCAAGUUAGGAUCAUCCAAGUAAACCCUCAAGUUACCCAAGGACGGAAAUAUGUGAACACUCUGUUAUUCGCUACUAACAAAAGCAGAGGCACCGGCAUUCCUUAACAAGUAAAUCUUGUAAUCAUGAUGAGAAAGCUCAUGGCACCAUCUUCGCUUGUCACCAAUGAGAGCGGUGGACCUACAAGAAAAACACUCCAAUCGCUCUUAUGGGAUUCUAGGCCUAUAAGCAUAAAAAGCUUAGUCUCCAAGUCCCAUUAUCUCACUCCAUGUUCCUUAGUAGUGGCUGAUUCAUGUUACUUUAUUUUAGCCCCACUCCCUUACUUUUAAGAUGCAUGGAAAAUGACUAGUUUUUAGGAUGCAUUUUUUAGUGUUACUUGUACUAGUCCGAAUAGGUGGGCGUUUGUUCGAAUAGAUGUAACUUGAUUAAAUUGGAUCAUGGCAGUUGAUCCUUUCAGAGACUAGCGGUGAAUGGAGAGAGUUAGACCUCCAUUCUCCCUUUCGGAUAGUGAUCACUUUCUACUGCGCAGCAGCAUUCUGCUGCAUGAUCUCUUGAAUUUUUUUUAUUCCGCUAGACGCUGGGUAACGAAGUAGUUAAUGGUUAGACGAAAUGACUGUCUUCUUAGCCGGUUUCUUCUUAGUAUGGCGUUGUUCAAGUGUGGGACCAUGAUUGUUCAGGGAAAGCAAAUCGGAAUACAAAUACUUCAAAAGUCUGAUCAUGGGCCGAACGACUUCAUUGAGAUUGACCAUUCUUGUUCAGCAAGACACGGGGACCUGAUCCAACAAGUCUUUAGCCAGUUCGUUAUAUUCAUGGAGUUCAUACAAUCCAGGAAUUGGAGUGCGCAAGAAAUCACACUCUCAAAUUGAUGCAAUAUAUAUCUAUCAUUUAAGAGUCUUCCGACUUAAUAUAGAAUUUUAUCCUAAAAAGGAUUUUCUUCCGACUGGUAUGCAGCCCGCAACAAAUACAGCACAUAAAAAGUAUAAAAGUUUUACAUGAAGCAAUCAUGUAUGUGCGUGAGUCGUCUCUCAUUCCUUACAAUAUUUUUUUUUUUUGAACAAACAAUAUUACACUAAGUGGGAGGAGUGAGUUUAAUCUUACAAUAGGCUAGUAAUAAUGUGGUUCAAAUUCGUUUUUAAUGAGAUUAGAACAUAAGACUUCUCACUUUCAAAUAAAAAGAAAUACAAUUCAUCAUCUCACACCGUAAAUCACCUACUCAGUUGAUAAUACCAUAAAUUGUCUUGUGAAAAUGACCCGUGCCCAAUCCUAUUUCUAUAAUUUCCUUUUCUGACGUGGAAUCAGUCAUUAUAAUUUCAGAAAAAGGAAGUGGGUAUAUAAAGGUCAACAAAUUGACUCAUGGGAUGCGAGUAUAGGGCGAAAGUCAACGGAUGUUUUUAGUGUCGUGUCCCAUUAUGUCGGUGAUGUCGUGUCCAUGGCCCACUCGGAAGCAGGUAACGGUAGAUAUUUUAGAUAUUUCAGCUAUGGGUCACACCUGUCUAGCGGCCCAUUGACCCUUGGCACUCCAUUAACAUUUUACUAAGCAAAAUAUCUCGAUUUUUAAACUAAUUAAAAAUAUAAUUAGGCAGUCGAUUAGUGGAGGGAGAUAUUUUUAUUUUUAUUUUAUUUUAAUAUAAUUAAUUAGUUUGGAGGGCAAAAUCGUCAGAGGAAUAAAAAGUCAAACUUUAAAGUUAUAGUUGCGACGACGAAUCAAACCUGGCGCUUUUUUAUAGUGGAAGGCAAACGCACACAUAGACACAUACCUUCUAUCUUCCCACUCUCUCCACUGCGAUCCCCACUCCACUCUCCCCGUACUGUUUUAUUUGAUCCAUUUUUCCAGAAAAACCCUAGAAAUUCACUUCAAAAGGUUGGGUUUUUAUGUUUAUUUUUCAAGAUAUUCGGUUAAAUAAUUCUCCUUCUGUAGUGUUUGCAGGCCUCUAUUUUUGCCGUGAGCUUCAGUUCAACUGGUGUAUGAAUUUCAUUAAUUUAUUUGGGUUUUGUUUUAGGGUUGUGGUGGUUGGAUAAAACCGAGAAUUGGGGAACAGAGCAGUGAGCCAAAGGUACCAAUUUUUGUGUUUUUCACUUUCAUGCAUGACUUAUAUAAUUUUUUUUUUUUUUUUGUGUGUUGUUAUUAAUUGAGAUUUUGUAUUUAAGUAGUGAAAUUUGGUCUUAUUAUUUUUUCUUGAAUUUUUUUUAGGGUUUCUGAAACGUAGAUUUGAUUUGAGUGUGGUGAAUUGACUGUUUGUGGGGUUAUAUGCAAGUACAAUAGACAAGGGGGUGUGUGUUUGUGUGAAGUCAGAACCAAGAGCAUGUUUUCUGGGGUUGGUGUUGCUGUAGAAUCUGACUUGGUGAGGUAGUGACCGGAGAAUUGAGACUUUGAGUUGACUCAGGUCUUUUUCGCUCGGGAAGAAGGUUAUGCAACUCGUUAGAAGGUUUCUACCUUUUGUUUUGUAUUGUUUUUGGUUCUUCUGUUGGGGAAAGAGGGAGAGUACAUACGCUUUUGGGUAUGAACGGUUGGAUGCGAUUUUCAUCGCCUGUGGUUAGUCUUGACUUUUGAGUGAAAGGCUAACACACCAUGCCAAGUGCAGUUCAUGGUUGACCAAUUUUUCGAGGCAAGUUAUUGAUCAGAUCACUUGUCUGAUUAAUGAGCUGUAUACUAUCUGUUUCCAGAUAAUACUUUGUCGAGUUUUGUAUUAAGGCAGAUUACUCGGUUUCAAACAUUACUCUUGAUUACGCACCGGUUAGAAUAAUGGAAUUUCGUAUGGUGGUCGUCUAUUUGGAUGAGAUAAAAGGUGCACUGGUACUUAUGUUAAGUCUGGUUUCUAAUUGGAACAAUAUCGAUUGGUAUAAACCAUAAGAGUACUCAAAUGAUUUGUACGGUUAUGCUAGACAUCCUUUCGGGAGCAAUUUGGUUAAAGGUUUCUAGUGUUUGAUUUAAGGUGGAAGAGAUUUUUGGUAUUGAUUGUUAAAGCUUUAGUUUGACCUUAUGGUAUUAACUGACGGGACUUAUGUUUUAUGGGUUUUACAUUUUUAGUAUGUGGUUUAAUUUGGGGAAGUCAUCCCCCUGUUUAUUUUUGCCCUUUCGGCUGAAUAAAUCAAAGGAGAAUACAGGGACGGAAGUAAGGGGAAAAUGGGCGUGCAAAAGUCAUUUCCCACUUUUUGUGGCACAGCUGAUCACCAACCCUUUGAAAUGGGUGUUAGCCAGCUCCCAGAGUUGUUUCUGCAUUAUCUACUUUCUGUUAGGGUUUUGGAAAUUUAAUUCUGGAAAUUCAUAACUGACUCAAAUUUCGUAACAGUAGUGUUCAUACUGAUUGUUUAUUAUGUACCCUGCACCAUAGGGGAGGGUAGAGAACUUUUUUGCCAACGUACGCCAAUAUGGAUCAGCAAGGACAUGGGCAUCCAGCAACUAUGGGAGUGGCUGGAACUGCAGCUCAAGCAUCAUAUGGUGUGAACCCGUAUGGAUCAGUUGGGAUGAUGCAAUCUCCUACUCAGCCAGCAGGUUCUGCCGCCUCUUCUCAGCUUGCACAACACCAGCUAGCUUAUCAGCACAUCCACCAGCAGCAACAACAGCAACUGCAGCAACAACUCCAAAAAUUUUGGGGAGAGCAGCAUAAAGAAAUUGAUCAAACUAAUGAUUUCAAAAACCAUAGUUUGCCAUUGGCCAGGAUUAAGAAGAUUAUGAAGGCGGAUGAGGAUGUGAGGAUGAUAUCAGCCGAAGCUCCUGUCAUAUUUGCUAGGGCCUGUGAGAUGUUCAUUCUAGAGUUGACAAUGCGGUCUUGGAAUCACACAGAGGAGAACAAAAGAAGAACACUGCAAAAGAAUGACAUUGCAGCAGCAAUUACGAGGACUGAUAUAUUUGACUUUCUGGUUGAUAUCGUCCCAAGAGAGGAUUUGAAAGACGAGGUACUUGCAUCAAUCCCAAGAGGUGGGAAUCCCCCAGUUGGGGGUCCAUCUGAUGGUGUUCCUUACUAUUACAUGCCUCCUCAGCAUGCUUCGCAGGUUGGUGCUCCGGCGAUGAUAGUGGGAAAGCCUGUGAUGGAUCAGAAUCUCUAUGGCCAGCAGGCACAUCCGUACAUUGCUCAACCAACAUGGCCACAGCAACAACAGCAUCCGCACGACGACCUUGAGUAAAAGAGUUAAUGGAGUAAAAAUUGGAAGGCCAAUUUGACUAUAUCAUCAUUGUUUGUAAUUGAAGGCUUACAAUUUAAAGUGUUUAUCUUGGAUACAGUAGUUACAUAGUUUGUCUUUUCCGGUCCUUAGUGUUACAAAAUAUUUGGGUUUGGUACAUGAAAAUUGAAAUGAUUCAGUAAAAGGUGUGGAUUCUGGUACUGUAAAUUAUAUGGCUUUUAUGUAUUUUGUUCUGCCGGUAAAUCCAAAGCUUGACAAAGUGGGUUGGUUGAGGAGGAAAGUGGUCAAACACACGGCCACUUAGAACAAUUGAUGUUUAUUAUCCAUUCAUUCUGCUUUGUUGCUUGUUCUGUAGCACAAGAAUCUGGGAAAGUGGACUCCUUAUGGCUCGCUCAGUUGGGAAGUCCGUUUUGCAUCUAAACUCAUAAACCAUCUUAUUGAAAAACCUUUCCUUCCCUAGGAAUUUUAUGCUCUUACAAGAUAAUACAAUCGGUCAAGAAAGAACUUGGACACGACGCUUUCUCCGUCAAUGAUACCAUGCGUUAUUGUCGAAAUUCAGACGGUCAUCGCCUUCUGACCUUAUCAGAAGCUGAUGCCUUCUCAGCACAGCACGCCAACCAAACAUGUAAAGGCACUUCUUUUGGCUGUUCGGCAAAGUACAGUGGACUGGUGGAGGCUGUUCAAGUGGAAGGAGAAAUAGAAUGCACGUGCGCAAACUUAAGUACCACACUCACGACGCCGUUUUACCUUUCUUUGGUUUCCUGCUUUUUGUACAUCUGUAGCAGGAGAGCCAGGAGGUAGGAAAAGGCCGUAGCUUUGGGUAGCGGUUGUUGGUGGGGGCUGGAAGAAAGAAGGAAGAGAGAACGAAGGGCAGGAUGAAAGUGAAUUCGAAUGCGAUGAGAUCGGGAGUUGUGGUGCUCGGAGCGCUGGCGUUUGGGUACUUGACGCUGCAGCUUGGCUUCCGGCCCUUUCUCGAAAGAGCUCAAUCUGCCGUUGACGACUUUGAUCCGGCGUCCUCCUCCUCCUCCUCCUCCUCCGCCGCCGCCGAACAACAAGAACAACAACAACCCGACUCCAGCAGCUCCACCCGCCGCUUCUAAAUAAAUAAACACCGAUUACUGAUUACCCAAAACCCCACAACCCUUGCUUGAUUUUUCUUUAUUCCGUUUCUUUUGCUUUUUUUGAUUGGAUUCGGAAGUUGUACUGCGCUGCGCAACUGAGUUUCUUUGCUGAAUGAUGGAAUUGCUGUGUCCAGUCGUGCUCCGAAAGGUAUGGAAUUGAACUUGAUUUCAUGGAAUUACUACUGCUGAUGAUGGAUUUGGAUUCAUGUUUCUUCCCCAAAAUUAAUAAAACAUUGUGACAAGAAAGAAUUCUUAGCUAUAAAGGGGUGUGCUUUGCAAUUGGUUCGGUGGUUUUUUUCAGUUGAUAAUCACCCAUCUACUUGUUGUGAGUUCAUGUCUUUUUUUGCUUUGUAAGGAUGGUUGAAAUUAGAGCUAUGCAUUUGGAGGCUUAACCGCGUAAGUUUUUGGUUGUGUUGUUGUCAACAACGAGUUUCGAGUUCCAUAUGGUUUCUGAAAAACUUGCUUAUCGCCUGAAUAUCAAGUAAACUCGAGGUUGAUGAAGACAUGGCACAAACAUUCUUUUGUAGAGUGAAGAAAAAAACAAAGCUCGUUUCAUUUGGGUUUACGUAAAAUAUGCAUUCUUAUGGUUCUUUGGUAACGUAUAUGAAUAAUAUCAUUGAUUUAGAAAUGUCAAUGACUCAAUGUUUAUGGCACUGUAAUAUUUUCUUCCCUAGGAUAACAACUCUAUUUGCUACCCCAAUACUCUCUAGUUUUUGACAAAUCUUCAAUUUGAAAAGUGUGGUUUAUAGUUAUGUAUAUAUAUUUUGCAUGAUAAGAGUCUCUCUCGCCGGAUUAAUGUUCAUACUCCCUUGUAAUUGUAGCUGAACUCCCGUCUCAAUCCGGUUAUCAUAAUAUCCAAAAUCACAAUUACAAAAAUGUUUAACCUUUGGGUUGGAGCUAACAAAUGUACAUGAUUGCAUUGUUUUCUUAAACCAAAGUUGUGAGGUACGUCAAACUGGGCACAUGCAGUGUUUGGUUGUUCUAAAUUCUAAUGAUGUUUUACAAACAUAUUAUUUAAAGAGACUUUUAGCGUCGUUAUAUAUUUAGUUGUAUUACACAAAUGUUUUAUGGUAAACGCGUUGGGGCAGAUCAUGAGGAAAAACCGAAAAAGAACUGGAUGGCAUUUUUGGUAGGCAAAGAAUGAUAGUGUUUCGAAUUCUUUGAUUCUUGAGCCAUUCAUAUAUGUAAACGGCAUGAAGGUGUCAGUGUAUGAUUGCUUUGGUCAGAAGUAAGUGAACUACGGCUCCACAAGACCACAUGAUGAUUUAUGCAAGAGAGGGCUUAAUGUUGAAGGGAAGCACUUAAUAAAGUUGCAGAAGAAAUGAGGGAUUGGAAUAUUAUUUCUGAGUUCAUGUCUAUUACUUGUUGUGAGUUCAUGUCUUUUUUUGCUUUGUAAUCACGGUUGAAAUUAGAGCUAUGAGGCUUAACCGCAUUAAUUUUUGGUUGUGUUAUUAACAAUGAGUUUUUGGUUCCAAAUGGCUUCUUGAAAAACUUGUUUAUUGGCCGAUUUCAAGUAAAAUUCAGGUUGAUGAAGAUAUAGCUCCAUUAUGUGACCAUGAAACUUCUUUAUGAUAGAUACAUUGCAACAUACCUUUCUGGGCUUUUUGGCUAAGAUCAAGAUAUACACAUUACAACAGCAUGGAAUUGGAAUUCAGUGUAGAGUGAAAAAAAGUAAUGCUCAUUUCAUUAGGGUUUAUUGUGUCGAAUGUGCCAUCUCUGACCUCGCCUCUUGUGUAUUCGUAUCAUUGGGAAUGGUAGUAGGUCUGUAUGAAUUAUAUCAUAGAAAUGUCGAUGUUAAUGGCACUGUAUUCUCUUCACUGGGAUAGGAAUCUGUCACUGCUACCCAAAUAAUCUGUGGUUUUUGAAGUCUUAAAUUUCAAGUGUGUAGUUUAUAGCUACAGAUAGUAAACUUUCUGCUUGUAAUUGUAGCUGAACCAGCAGUCUCCCAUCUUGGUCUGGUUACUAUAAGAUGAAAAUACAAGUGCACACACAAUCACAAAAAAGUUUAUACCUUUGUGUUGAAGCUGACAAAUGUACAUGAUUGUAGUGUUGUCUUAAAUGAAAUUACGAUGUAUGUUAAAUUGGAUCCUCACACGCGGUUUUUGGCUGUUCUUGUGCAGUUGUAUUCUACUGGCAGACUGUUUAAUGGCAAAUGUGUUGGAGCAGAUCAUGAGGAAAAAAACUGGACAGAGGAUGUGGUAGGCGAAGGAUGGCAGCGGUUCAAGUUCUUUGUCAUGUAGUAUGUGCGUUACUCUUGAGCCAUCCGUAUUACUGCAAACAGCAGCGUAUGAUUGAUUUCUUUGGCCAGAAGAAACCAAGACUCCGCGAAAUGAUUCAUGCAAGUGAAGGCUAGAUGUUUAAGUGAGGUAAUUGACAUAGUUGCAGAAGCAAUUAGGGAAGGGAAUGGUAUUUAUAAGAGAGCUCCUCCAGGAUAGCAUGUAAGUCAGAGAAGAACCUUCUGCAGAAUUGAUCGAAUCUAGGUGUCGAUGAACACCAAAUUUAAUUUAUAAAAUUUAGUAUAUAAAUUUAACCGCACUAGCAUUACUCAAAAUAUAACUGCUGAUUAAUGAUAAGCAUUAUGAUGGAGUCAGAUCGUCAUAUUUGAGAAAUAAUGGAUGGGAGAUGGCGGGUACGUUAUGCUGUUUAAGGUUUUCUGUCCCAGGUGAGACAGGUGGCAUCAUGUGAUUUGACCAUCCUCCUCCUCCUCCUCCUUCCCCGUAUUAAUCCCAUGAACAUGCAUGGAUGGUGUUUUAUUAAUACAAAAAGAAUGGUGAGAAUUAAAAAACCAGGUUCAUGUGUAACUCUUGUUAUUUUAUUGGUUCCAUCUUUUUGAAUGCUUCAAUUUGCUCGAACAAGGCAAUUAGAAAAAGGGAUCGGAGAAGGCAAUUAGAAAGUGCUUUUGCAUUGACCUUCUAUUUGUGUUGGUAAAUUUCACAGAUCAUACAAAAAUUAUUAUAUAUUAUGGCAACGGGAAUGCUAACAAUUUUUUUAUUUUGAUCUUCUCAUUUUACUAUUUUUUUAGACUUUUCAUUUAGACUCAUUCUACCUUAUUAUUUCUUAUUUUCAUCCUGCAAUACUGCACAAGAUAUGAACCCAAAAGCCUUGGGUUAACCCAAACAACGAAGGAGGUUGAGAUAAUAAAUCAAGGGGUGUGCUAUCCACACACUCUUUUUUACUUCUCACACACACCCCUUGUUAAUUUCUGUUCGUUGAUCUUCUUCAAUUCAUCCGAUCCGACCGCCGAAAAUAAAAAAGAUGUGAGAGAAGUAAAAAGGGAUGUGUGGAUAUCACACCCCUAAAUCAAGAUUAUGAAAGAUCCAGGUUUGAAUUUCUCUGAUGUAACAACAAAGCAUGCUUUGUGUUGUGUUGAUUCACAAAAUAGGAUGAGGAUCAUUUUCGAAUCCUCUUUGUGGGGAUCAUAUGGAUCUUCAUAUUAUUACCCGUUUAUCGUAUAUCAUGUGAUCAGUUUUUAUUAGGUACUAUUUGUGUUUAAUCUUAAAUAAAAAAUUUAAAAUAAUUUCUGACUAUAUGAUAUACGAUAAACGGUUUGAAUGUGAGAAUUUCUAGGAUCCCACAAUUUGGAUCCGGAUGGAUCCAAAUCCCAAAAAUAGAUCAAAGUGAGUGCUGAAUAAAUGGAAAGCGUUGUCAUUCAAAUUUGUGGAGUCAGAUUUUCAUCUUUGAAAUAAUUAAUUAAACAUGGAUGGAGAUGGCGGGCACGUCAUGAUGCUUAAGGUUUUCUGUCCCGGAUGAGACAGGUGGCCGCAUGUGAUUUGAAGCUCCUCCUUCCUUGGAUUAAUCCCAAGAACAUGCAUUAAUCGUGAUAGAAAAAUGUUAAAGAAGAUUCUUUGAGAUGUUCUGUGGAUUAUCUGUCAUUUUAAAAUUUAACGUCAAUUUUUGGGUCAAUAAUUAUAAACAUUGUGUAAAAAAUAUGAAAUGACAAAGAGUUAUGGAAAAUCUCACUUCUAGAAAAGUUUCCUUAACAUUUUUAUUAUAUUAAGGAGACUUUUUCAAAAAGAAAACUCUUCAUGAAUUCUCUGUUAUCUUAUAUUUUUGGCACAAUAUUUUAUAAUAUUAGCACGAAAAUUAACGUUAAACUGUGAGGUAAUGGAGAAUCUCUGAAUGGUCCCACUCUAAUAGGUUUCCUUAAGAUUUCUCAAUGUUUUAGUAAAUACAAAAACGAAUGAUGUUUUAAACCUGAUCAGGAAUCAGAAAAGCAGCGUUCACGUGUAAACUUUGGGUAUUAUUAUGUUGUUUUGUUCCGUCCUUUUGAAUUAAAAUUUGUUCUGCCUCCCCAUUUCAUGCGGCGUGUGUUUCCCUUCCAUUUGCAUUAACCUUCUAUUUUUCUUAAUAAAUUUCACAGGUUUAGUUAAGAUUAUAUAUAUAUAUAUAUAUAUCACGUAAUGCUAGCAACUUUUUUAUUUGAACUUUUUUAUUUCUAUCUUCUCAUUUCUCUUUCUUAUUUUAGAGUGUUGCACGAUAAUCCGAACUGUCUACUUUUCUAAGUCACCCUUUAAAGAUCAUCUUAACUAAGCAUAAAAUCAUCUAUCUUUUAGUGUCCCCCUCAUAGAAAAGUCCAUGUAACACUAACACAUGCUUGACUAUUUUUGCUAAACCUUGUUUUAAGAUCAUCAUGAAAGUUGUAAUAAGUUGAUUAUUUUGCCCUUAAUAAGUUGAUUCAUUUCAACUAUGUUGGUCUCCACCUUGCGUGGGUUUUAUAAAAAUUAAUGUGGACGCAAGCUGGUCAAGGAGUGGGGCUUCGGGUUUUGUGGGUGUUGUGGCUCGGGACGAUGCUGGCAGGUUUGUGGCAGCGAACAGGAUGAGGGUCACGGCCUCUUCUGUGGCAGUGGCUGAAGCUUUGGCAGUGCUGCAUGGGUGUGAGUUUGGAAGAAAUAUGGGAUGGAAUUUUGUCAUCGUGGAAUCUGACUUUCAGGAAUCUAUAUCCUGUAUUCGAGAGUUGGAUACGAUGGGCAGUUGGGAAGCUUUCCCAAUUUUAGCGCGAUGCAAAAGAUUGGGGGAGUCUUUUAAUGACUGCCGCUGGUCUUGGGUUCCAAGAUCGGCCAAUAUGGCUGCGGAUAUUCUGGCGUUGCGGCAAAGUAGGGAGGUAUGUGAUUAUAUUUGGGUCAACAGACCCCCAUCCUCCCUUGUUCAUGUUUUGUGUAAUGAUGGUCUCCCUUGUCCCCAUUAAUUUCUUCCUGCCAGUAUGAGGAGUGACAUUUUUAGCAUUUGGUGCGAUGUCGUCUUUACCUCUUUGUACUGCUUUCCUUAGUUGUUGCUGCUUGCUUUUGCCUCGGGGUAGGCUUCUUUGUAUCUUUGGCAUCUUUGCCCGGUUGUUAGUAAUUCCAGUUCGCCAAAAAAAAAAAUUACUUUCACGUUUAGUGUGAGUUAUCUCCAUUUAGUUUGAGAAGCUUUCACGUCGGACUCAAAUAAAUACAAAAGUACUAAUCAUGAAAUAGCUUUAUAAUAGGUGCUCGUUAGAGACAAGUGUCUGGCGCCCGUUGCUUAUAUAUCCCUACAUAUCCAAAUGAAAUCUCAAUCCAAAUCCUCUCGACAGUAAAAUUUUAAUUGGUUUUGGAUUUUGGAUUUUGGAUUUUGUAUUGACGCAUAAUGUGUCUAUGGUGUUUGAGGACUGAGGUAGUGUCACACCCCAAUCGGAGAAUUAACUUAAAACUCCAAUUAAAGCAUGAUUCACAAUUUAAUAUGAAAUAAAAUCUUUGAGAAUAGAUUAAUUCAUAGUCAAAAAGUGAAGAAAGAAAAAAAAAAGAUAUAAACAUGUUCAAACAUAAUUCACAUUUAUUCACCAAGAGGUAAUUCUCAAGUUUUACACAGCACUCUUUAAAUAAAUUUACAUAAAGCUUCUUGUUCCUUAUUCAAACAAAAGUGCAAACACCACCAAGCUCUUUAUUUUAUUUUUAUUUACAGAUAUCAUAUAGUAAGUAACAUCUUUAGCACAAGACUUAAUUAUCUAGUUCCGAACGUGCACAAAUUUAAUUAGGGUGAGCAUAAAGCUCAGUAGGGACAUUAUACCUCAAAAUAUAUAUAACCAUGAGUAUAUUAUUAUUAUUAUUAUUAUUAUUAUUUUAAAAACAUUAGAAAAAUGAUAUGUAUGAAUGCACAAAGUUUCUCUCUUCAAACCCAUUAACCUGAACCCAAACACCAUAUUUCCCUUUUGUUAGUGCUCUUGCCUAAUUCCCUUUCACCAGUCCCGUAUUACCCUUAAAUUAUUGUGCACUUUGGGGCUGGCCUGAGAUCUGGUACGUGCCAAGAAGCUACAAUGUAAGUCCACAUAACUACCAAACUAAUCAAGUAUCUUGGUCCAACUUGUGAGUUCCUAUUCAAAGUAUAAACUAUCACUAUUUAAGCACACAAUUUUAAAUGUAACUCGUAUUAUAGAUAGACUUUGUAGAAUACAUACUUUAAUAAGUAUGUAUAAUAAUAACCCAAACAAAACAUAUUUUCAAUUUUCUAGUAAAAUAGUUUUAAAACUAAAAGUUUUUGUAUGGUGUAAAUUUGUUAUGCAAAAUUAAUAUUGGAUAUCUGUACGAACCCACCAAUAAUAUCUAAAUAUAUUAUUACAAUCAGAACUCAUAUCCAACACCAAAAUUUGUUUAUUGACUUAGAUGACUAGUUCAAAAGUUUCAUGUUUCAAAAUUUCACCUUGAAAUCCCUUCGUUCCUACCAAUCCAUAACCAAAACCUCAACAUAAAAGACUCUUUCUUUUUGAGUUUAUGAAAGCUCUCUGUUUUAAAUAGUAACAGAACAUAAAUAUAUUUUGAAAUCAAAGAGAAAACUGAACAUUUUAUAAUAUAAAAUUAUGGGGUUUUUGGCUGAAAGAGAUUGACAAUUGAUUAACCAACCUCUUCAAAGCCCACUAAAAUAGAAAAAUGAAUCAAAUAAAAUGAAUGAGAAGUCUAACCAAAAGAAAAUUAUUUCAACUCUUAGCACCCUUUCUCCUUCACUAGCCUUCUAAAACUAUAAAGCUUUUUGUAUGGCAUUUCUAUUACUGUUGAUUCUCAAGAGAACUACUGACUCCCUAUUUAUACAGGUUUUUGUUUCUUUUUUAACCGGCUAAAAAAAAACUCUUACUUAUCCUAACAAUCAUGAUGCCUAACUCUAGACUCUUCACCACCUUGGCUGGUUUGGUAUUGAUGUGCUUUGAAAAAAAAAACUGUUUCUAUUGUGCUGUGAGAAUAAACUCAUUUUUGCUGCUUUCACGUUUUCAUUUUUUUUUUCCACCAAAAACUGUGAAAAUAAGUUGUUUUUAAGUGUUUACCCAACACCUUUUUGAGCUUAGUUUUUUUUAUACCCACUUUUUAUAAAAGCAUAUCAGUACCAAAUCAGUACUUAGACCUCCUCCUCCUGCUUCCAUAGACUCCGCAAGUUCUCUUGGAACUAACACUCAGGUGACACAAGCCACCAAGCCACAUAAAUUGAACACCUCAUGAUUGCUAGCAGUAAGAGGAGGAUUCAUCUGACUACCACAUGGUAACUAGAUUGAGAUUGAGAUGAAAAUCCUAGCAAAUGAAAAUAACACACCUAGUGAUUUUAAAUUCUUAUGUGAUGGUAAGAGAGAAAGAGGCAUGGAAAUCACAAGCUCAAUUGUACAGUCAUAAAGAAAUAAAAACAAACUUACCUCAUGAAUUACUUGUUGGCUACUCCAUUUGACUCUAGAUAAGUAUGAAAUUGAAGACCCAAAGACAAAACUUAUUUUUUGCUUCUGUAAUUUUCGAAGAGAGAAAAAGCUAGAGUAAACUCCCUCCCCCCCUCCCUUUUUCAGACUACAGUAGAUUUGAGAAAAGGAGAUUGUGGACUCCUUAUUGGAGUUAUCAUCCAGAAGAAAGAAACAAAUAAAAAUCAAUAAAUUAAUAACAACAAAAUAUUGUAUUUGUCCUUUUUGUCAAAAGUAUAUAGUAUAUAUUAUAUAGGGAUAUAAUAUCCAUAUACCCAUUUUUACUCCUCUCAUUUCCUUUUAAUUUUCGACCAUCGGAUCGGAUGAAUUGAAGAAAAUCCAAGGACAGAAAUUAACAAGGGGUGCAGGAGAAGUAAAAAGGAGUGUGUGGAUAACACACCCCAUUAUAUAUAAUGAAUCUCAAACAUAUGGACCAAUAUACAUAUUAAUCUAACUAUAUAAAUUAGAAAGUUAACCUAAUUAAAAAAAUUUCGGAUUCUCACAGGUAGAAUCCAAUAAGUUGUAGCCAUGGGAAAACUUGCCAUACCAUUUUUGUCAAACAUUUUAUCUUACCUAUCAGAAAGGUAGGAAAAAAAUAAGGCCAAACAAUUGUCGUGUUCUCUUUGCUAAUUGCUAGGGGUCAAAUAAUUGUCAUAUAAUAUAUAGCAAAACUGAUUUUCCUGAAAAAUGAUAUAACAAGCACGAAAGUUGAUUAUAUUAGUCUAAUCUUAUCUUUAGAAUAUAUGCUAACUGUCUUGAUGAUUGAGCUAAGCAUCGCACAAAGUAAACAUCUCUUUUGAUUAAGGUCCUGUUUGAUAUUCCAAGAGUAUGUUGCAUUUGUACACCUUAUUAUUAUGACCCCAACAAAAUUUAGAGGUUCUCUUUUCAUUAGGGUCACUUGUCUUUAGCGCCGGACUCAAGAAAAAUUAUUCGGAGAAUCACAUGUAAAUGUUAACAAACAUUUUUUAGACAUAUGAUAACUUUAAAAAUUAAACCACAGUUCCAUCAUUCAUAACAUAUAGAACAAAUAACAAUAGAAGUUAUAAUUGUCUACAAUGUUGUUUUGACCAGGUAAUAUUUAAAAGAAUAAUAAUAAAAGCAACUCUUCUUUGAGGCAUUUUAUCACACAGUUAGAGUGCUUGUGUGAAGGCCAACUCCAACCUUUAAAGUAGCAGCAUCUAAGUUAUUUAUAAAUAUCCAUCGAAGUUCGGAGGGUCAACUAAUUCUCUGUGCCGCUGAGAAGCUUAGUGCGUCCGCCUUUGCUUGUGCUCAUUCUAUUUCAGAUUCUUUUAUGAAAUGUAAGAUGUAAGUAUAAUAUUUUUGGUUACAACAAAUUUUUUUGGUUGAACUGUUUACUGUCAAUUAGUGGUCUUUUGUCAAUUUGUAGAGUGAUUUUAUAAUAUUUUGGUGGAGUCUCAGUCAUUUUUAUGAAAACUAGUAUAUGCCCACACAUAAAAUGUGUGUAAAAAUUUUCAUUUUCAUUUUUAAAAUUGAAUGAGAGAGGAAGAGAAAGACAGAACAUGGGAGUGGGGAGAGAUGCUUAAAUUAGAGAUAAUAGAAUCACCUAUGGGUGAGGCUUAAACAAAAAACAACAAAAUUUUAUUUUAUGAAAUUACGUUAUUGUUCUUAACUUUUUUGUUGUGAUAAAAGAAAAAAAAAACAUAUCUUUUCAUUUUCUUUUGAUUGACAAAAGAACUUUAUUAAUAUGUAGUUUAAAUAAAACUUGACGGUGGUAAUAAGUUUUUGUAAUACGAAAAAGAAAACCUAGUCAAGAGAGAUGAGCCUUAUUCCUCAAAAUGCAAACACAAAGAGAGCAAAGAGGAGUACAAGUCGGGAGUUCCCCACUCCCACUCCCACUCCCACCCAACUUCACAAUUAUGUCCACCAAAUUUGGAUUAGUUAGAUAUAAUAUCGCUUCAAUGUGAGAAAAAUUUGGAUUAGUUACAAAAAAUUGUUUUGUGAAAUUACAUUAUUGUCUUUAACUUUUUUAUUGUGAUAAAAGAAAAAAAUAUAUAUUUUCAUCGUCUUUUGAUUGACAAAAAGAUUUUUAUUAAUAUGUAGUUUAGAUAAAACUCGAUGGUGUCAAUAAGUUUUAGUAGUAUGAAAAAGAAAACCUAGUCAAGACAGAUAAGCCUUAUUCCUCAAAAUGCAAACACAAAGAGAGCAAAGAGGAGUACAAGUUGGGAGUUCCCCACCCCCACCCAUACGGCACCCAACUUCACAUUUAUGUCCACCAAAUCUGGAUUAGUUAGAUAUAAUAUCGCUUCAAUGUGAGAAAAAUUAAAUGAUCUGAGCUGAUGAGUAUUGUAGUCAUGAACAUGGUGAAAUUUUUCAUAAUUUUUUUAGGCUCGGAAAGAAUCAAGAUAACCACUUGCCAUCAAUUGUUCUCAUUUUUUAAAAAGAAAAAAAAAUCAAUUAUUGUUUUUCAAAAAAAAAAAAAACAAUUAAUUUUUCAAAAUAAAGAGAAAUUGGAGAAGAACAAGUAGUUUGUUUUAUUUUAUUUUUAGAGAAAAAGAAUGAAGACGGUGGUAAUUGGCAAAAUUAGGGAAUAAAAUAUAUCUAAGACCGCUUUACAGCCAGAGUGAUGUCGGGAUUAUCAUACGAUCAACUCACCCACGCUCCACCUCCUCCUCGUGCACAACACUCCCCAGAACGUUUCGUCUCCCUCUCUUCCUCUUCUCUCCAAAACGUCACGUUCUAGCACUAAAAAUACGGCAGCCGCCCUAUAUCCGUUACCCCCCUCUCUCUCUCCCUCCCUCCGGACCCGGUUUCUCUGCCCUUUCACGUUCCAUACACUCUCAUCUCCUUCUAUUUUGUGCGGUCACAAUUAAACCAUGUCAACAUUUUAUAUUAAUUUUUUUAUAUUAAUAAUAAAACAAAAAAUAAUAGUAAUAUAAAAUAUUAACGUGACUUAACCGUGAUCGCACAAAUAAGAAAGGAUAAGAGUGUAUAAGAAGCCAGGUCCCUCCCUCGCUCCCCACUAACGCCACAACUCCUGUCCAUUCUCUGCUGGUCCCUCUCUUCUCUCUCCUCCCUUAAACCCCAUCUCUCUCUCUCUCCCCUCUAUCUUCAUCCUCUCUGCUGAGUGCUGACUUGAAGUCUUUGGAUUUUGUUUUUGGCCCAUUUGGAAAAUCAAUCCUCUUAAAACAGAAGCAUAUCUCUGUAUAAUUAUACCCACAAACUGUAUUAUAAUUGAUUCUCUCUCUCUCUCCCUCCCAAAAAGUAAGAAGAGAAAAGGCAAAGUAUAUAUAUAUAACCUCCGCCAUGAAUGCUUCCUUGCUUCCUUAACAACCCAUCUCCCUUGUUUUUUAAGCUCUGCAUCAUUCAUUACUAGCAAAUAUCACUGACCUACCAAACAAACCAACUCAUCAAAGCACAAUCCCAGACAGGACAUAUUUUCCAAUCCCAUUUAUGCAUAUGUUUUGCUUCCACCCUACACCUCUCUGCUCUCUCUCUCCUCUUUCUCUCUCUAAAAACUUGAUCACUGCAAAACCCACAUCCCAGAAUACGAUUCCGAGCUCCAAUGUCUAAGGACCCGUCUCAACCCGACCCAGAAACCAUGCCAUUCUUCGAAGCUUUCAAAAAGUUGAAGCGUUUGAAGCUGUUGGAGCCGUCCCUGGGCGUUAUGGGAUUCUUCUUUGCCAGUGUUGGUGUGAUUUUGUGCUUCUUUUACUUGGAUUACAGAGCUGUUGUCAAAGAGUAUCGGUUCCCGGGCCAAUCGGCGCGGUUCAUGUGGCUGCAGAGCAAUAACAGGUGGGGCAGGGACCGGAGGGUUGAGUUUCUGGGAGAAGAGGGUGGUGGCUGUGACGUGUUUGAAGGGGAUUGGGUGUGGGACGAGUCGUAUCCGCUGUAUCAGUCCAACGAUUGCCGGUUUGUGGAUGAAGGGUUUAGGUGCUCUGAAAAUGGCCGCCCUGAUUUGUUCUACACCAAGUGGAGAUGGCAGCCCAGGCACUGCAACUUGCCCAGGUACUUCAAUCUCUUCAGUUUUUGGUAAUUUUCGAUUACGGUUUCAGAAUGUUUGGCUGCUGAGAAAGAGAGGGAAAAUAAGAGAAAUCAUCAGAGUUGAAAUAUGUCAUUUCUUUUUAGUCACAUUGAUUUCCCUUUUUAUUGUGAGAAAUUAUAUGAAUAUAAUUUAUAAUUACCUGUGGAAUUGAAUAGUUUAAGUUGACUUGCUCUAUAUACUGUCUCAGCUAUAAUUUGCAGGGAUAAGAGUUUGAUUGUUUUCCUGAAUUUUCUCAGCAACCAAACAACUUGAAUCCAACGACGUAAUUUGGAGUAAUUUUCAGGGUUAAGUAAAGUAAAAUGUCACCUUGACAGUGAUUAACUUUUUUGGUUUCAUCUCAGGCUUCCUGUGAGUGUGCCGUUGAUAAGUACGUCAGUUUGAAUUUUAGUGUCAUUCCUAUUUGGAUGUGGACUAUAAUUUUUUUUUUAUUUAAAUUUUGUCCUUCCUUGUGUAACUCUGUGUAUGCUUGGUGGUGACAUUUUAGAAUUGUUUAUGUGAUUUUAUUUUUUACACUCAAAAUUAUUUUUCCUGCGGGGAUAACGAACAGAUUUGAUGCCAAGUUGAUGUUGGAAAAACUGCGUAACAAGCGGUUAGUGUUUGCUGGCGAUUCAAUUGGAAGAAACCAGUGGGAAUCACUCCUCUGCAUGCUCUCUUCCGCAGUUCCUAAUGAGGAUCGAUCUAUGAAGUGAAUGGGAACCCAAUUACUAAGCACAAAGGAUUCUUGGUGUUCAAAUUCAAGGAUUUUAACUGUACUGUGGAGUACUACCGAUCUCCAUUUCUUGUACUGCAGAGCCGUCCUCCUUCUGGGGCUUUAAGAAAUGUCGGAACAACUCUGAAGGUGGAUCAAAUGGAUUGGAAUUCCGCAAAGUGGAGAGAUGCAGAUGUGCUGGUCUUCAACACAGGGCACUGGUGGAAUUACGAGAAGACUGUAAGAGGGUAAAUCUUUAAUCUCAAUCCUAUUUGACUACUUCACAAGAUUCACUCGUUUGCAUUCGCAUGAACCCUUUACUGCAAUGUAUGCGACCUUAGUGGAAUUUUCAAUGAAGGGUCUUAAGAAGGGGCUGGGAGGUAACUCGUCCGACCCACCCCAACUCUUCUCUUUUGUUUUUCGCUUUCUAGAUUUGGUUUUAAUUAAAAGAAAGUAAAUGGUACCUGAAAAAAUGUUUUAUACUGAACGAUUGCAUCACAUCAACCUCAAGUUUUGGUCGAAAGUUGAUGCAAUUGGUGUUAGGACUUGUACUGAUGGCCGUCUGGAGUGUUUGGAGUGUUGUAAGUUAUAUCACAAAAAUGAUGGACUUGGACUUUAGGACUUGUUAUAUGUGGGGAUGCAGUGAAACUUGGACUUUAGGGCUUGUUUUAAGUUUUAUAGUUUUAUACACAAUAUUUCUUCUUUCAUUCUGAUUUUCCUCGAAGUGGAAGGAUUAAAAGUUUCAGUAUGUUUUGUUCAGGGGUUGUUACUUCCAGGAAGGGGAGCAAGUAAAGAUGGAAAUGAGCGUAGAAGAUGCGUAUCACAAGUCCAUGGAGACUGUGGUGCACUGGAUAGACACUCAAGUAAAUUCAAGCAAGACUCAAGUUUUCUUUCGAACAUAUGCUCCUGUGCAUUUCAGGUUCGUUUUGUAACUUGAAAUGAUUGGUUUUCUUUAUUGAACGCAUAUCCUAUCAAUGGUUCAGCAUAUUCUAGAUGCCUUGGACAAUUGAUACUGUCGUUUGUACAUUUUCACAAUCGCCAAGAUCAUGAAUCCAUCUCUUGUUUUUUAUCUUUUCUGGUGAAGUAAGAUGCUAUAUGCAAAUCUUUUUUGAAAAGCUGAAGUGGUAUUCUUGAAUAAUGCAGAGGUGGGGAUUGGAAGACCGGGGGAAACUGCCACUCGGAGACACUUCCUGAGCUAGGUUCCUCAUUGGUGCCUCCUCAAUCAUGGGAUCAAUUCAGGGUAGCCAAUGUUGUGCUCUCAGCUCACCCAAACGCAUCACAGACGACAAAGAUUGAUAUACUAAACGUAACUCAAAUGACUGCACGGAGAAAAGAUGGGCAUUCGUCUUUGUACUUUCAGGGUCCUAAACUUGGCCCUGCACCUCUCCAUCGCCAAGAUUGCAGCCACUGGUGUCUGCCUGGAGUGCCCGAUACAUGGAACGAACUACUCUAUGCGCUAUUCCUAAGGCAGCUGGUGAUGGGCACAUAUAACUCCUCAACUUAUAGGGCACAGGUAUGAUUGAACCAAGUCUCCUGUUUAUAUGUUGCAUGGAAGAAACGCUUGGAUGCGCACAGCAAUGAUUCCGAGGGGAGAAGGGAAAAGAUGAAAGAAAAUGGCAGAUAUCAUCAAUUUUGUCAGGAUUUCGAGUUUCGGGUUGAUGGAACACCAGAACAGCAUUUUGGAGGAUAGUGUAAAUUUAUAGGUUUCCAAGGGUUUCUUGAAUCAAAUUAUGAAAGUUUAAAUUUAUAGUUUGGUUUUUUCUUUUUACUUUUAAUUAUUAAACAGGCACUGUAAUCCUUUGGAAAUAUGUAAUUAAAUAGCUUUUUUGAAUAUAAAUUGAGAAUCAUCAGCAAUGCUCAUUACUGUUUUCUUACUUUCUUCUACUUUUGCGUGUGUUUCAACUUCCGAGUUUCAACCUUUGUUCGUUUUUCACUACUUUGUUUAUAUUAGAGGUUCGGGUUUCAAUUUGAAUUAGGGGUUCUAAAUCUUUGUUCAUUUUUCACUACACUUUAUAUUUAAAUACGUAGUUAGACCCAUAAUGUAAAGCUAUUGAUAAUGAGUUACGAAAAAUAUUACUAGAUCACAGAGUUAAGUACGAAAAAAGUACUAAGUACUACGGUCUGGUGAUAUUUUUUUCAUUUGGAAAUGAGCUUAGGUUCGAAUCUUGUAGGGACUCAAAAAAAAAAAAAAAAAAAAACAACUGAUUUUUAAAAUAAAUAAUAAAAUUUAAAUAGGGAUUCCUAUGUGCUAUUCUCCCGGGUUCUAAAACAACUCCGCUUCGCUCAGUGAAAGUAGAAAGAUUAGAAAGAUUCUCGCCUUUUGUACGUCGGGCCUUCUCUUCUCAUCAGCAAACAGUGACCAGAAAAUGGCACCACCGUCUACCGCCGAAGACAGCCGAUCCAGGGACCUCGACAAGCUACUCCUCCGCGCCGGCAAUCUCGUCGGACCCACCUUCGAACCCGGCCCCGGAGUAAACCUUUUCCCCCCUUUUCCCUCCCUCUCUCUCUACCAUUCUUCUCUUUCGAUCGAUUGUACGAUUUCGUCGGUUUCUUACUUUUGAUUUCGUUGCAGCUGCGAGAUGACCUCAAAGAGUACGCCAGAGUUUUGGUGGUCGGGGCUGGUGGGCUGGGCUGCGAGCUGCUCAAGGACUUGGCUUUGUCUGGCUUUCGGGAGCUCGAAGUCAUAGACAUGGAUCGUAUCGAGGUUUCCAAUCUCAAUCGCCAGUUCCUCUUCAGGUUAUUUGAAUUUUUUUUGGUGCCUAUUGCUUUAAUUUGUUAUGGGUAUUUGUUUUUUGAAUCGGAGAGUUUGUUGAAUAUGUUUUUUAUUGCCCUGUUAUCGCGGUCUUUCACUAGCUAUAGAGUAUCGAAAACUUGUAUAAUCUAUCAAUACUUUAGUUCUACUAAGUGAUCAUAGGCUGAAGUUUUCGGAGAAACCCGAAUUUCUAAUCUUAAUAGUAAACUUAUCCCUGAAUCAUUCAUGUUUGUGUGUGUUACUGAAUGUCUUACAUCUCGAUAAUAGGAUUCUAUCUGCUUCGCAAUCAUCUAUUUUGAUAUCCGUUUCUGCUGCAUUUUACUAAUAAAUACUGUAAUUUCCUAUCUAUUAUGUGUAUUAUCGAUUUGAAAAACAAGGGAAGACAGAGAGUUGGCAUGUCAAUUUCUUGUUAAAGUGCUUUCCUCAUGAAAUUAUUGUUGUAGACUUGAAGAUGUAGGCAAGCCAAAGGCUGAGGUGGCUGCAAAACGUGUCAUGGAGAGAGUUAGUGGUGUAAAUAUCGUUCCACAUUUUUGCCGGAUUGAGGACAAGGAGCUUGAAUUUUAUAGUGAUUUCAGUAUUAUCGUCCUCGGUCUUGAUUCCAUUGAGGCUCGGAGCUACAUAAAUUCUGUUGCUUGUAGUUUUCUUGGUUAGUACUUCAACCUAUCCAUUUUUCUCAUAUUUUGUCUCUCUACUACAUUUGUGUAAUUCAUUAAAAGUAUUAUACGACUUCUGGUGUUCCUGUAAUUAUAUUUGCACUUGUUCUUUGUAUGGUGCUGAUUAUUGACCUUCCUUGUUGCUCUGGUUAUUGAUAAUUACAGAGUUUAUUUUCGUAUGAGAACAGAAAGAACAGAUUUGAAUAAAAUAGUCCCAGAAAAUCCUGCAGAGGAUAUAGAUUUUGGUUAUUAAACUUGCUAUCCAAAACUGGUCCCGUUUUGCAACUUUAAGGUGUAGAGUCUAAGUUGUCAAAUUUGAGAAACUGACUCCACUACCUUCCUUAUGAUAUGCAUUUGCAACUUUAAGGUAUCAAAAUUGGUCUAGUUUUUGGUUUGAACUUUCGUCUCUAGUGUCGGAUAUAUGUAUAACAAUAUUUUGGGGCUUUUUUUUUCCCCUGGUAAUAUCCUUAUGUUGUGGCUGGCCUUAUCCCUUGCUACCCUUUGUGCGUCAUUCUUGAAAUGAUGAAUUGCUUUUACUUUACUAUAUUUGAGCUAACGUGGCCCUUUGCAUUUUAUUUGUUAUUCUUUUGGAAGAGUAUAAUUCUGAUGAUAGCCCACAAGAAGAAACCAUCAAGCCUAUGGUAGAUGGAGGGACUGAAGGUUUUCAAGGACAUGCUAGGGUCAUUAUGCCAGGGGUCACUCCAUGCUUUGAGUGCACCAUCUGGCUUUUUCCCCCUCAAGUGAAGUUCCCUCUAUGCACCCUUGCAGAAACCCCAAGAACUGCUGCUCAUUGUAUUGAAUAUGCUCAUUUAAUCAAAUGGGAUGAGGUGAUACAUUGUGCAAAAUUUCAAUGUUCUUUCCCCUUUACUUUUCGUUACACUUUAUAACUGUUGCAUGAGAGAAUUGAUGGAAUGGCAACUAAAAAUGCAUUCUACAAAUAGGUACAUAGCGGAAAGGCUUUUGAUCCAGAUGAUCCAGAGCAUAUGAAGUGGGUCUAUGAUGAGGUCAGUGAAGUACAAUUAUGUAGUGAUUUACAUUUUGUUUAUACUGAUGUUCAUUUUAACUUGGAUUUUGUUGUUAAUAUCCAAUAGGCUACCAAGAGAGCUGAGCUUUUCGGUAUUCCAGGAGUCACAUAUUCUCUUACUCAGGUGCAUAUGCACUUAAAGAUGUCUGUUUCUCCUAAGAUUAUUUUCGUUUUAAGAUUUUAUGCCACUUAACUGCAUAGUUUGGCUUGGGUGUUAAUUAAUAAGCAGAUUACGUUGUUUACAGGGUGUUGUGAAGAACAUCAUACCAGCUAUUGCUUCCACAAAUGCAAUUAUAUCAGCCGCAUGUGCACUAGAGACAUUGAAGAUUGCAUCUGGAUGCAGCAAAACACUAUCAAACUAUUUAACGUGCGUUCCAUUCCUCUUCUAUACUACUCGACUUAUCAUCUUGUCCUAGAUGUCAUAAGUCAUGACCAGUAUGGUUGCAAAUCUAUGUAUAGGAUUAGUGAAUGACCACCCGCAAAAUAGUUUAGGAUUAAUGAAUCCCCCCUAUACUCUUAAUUGCAUUUACUCCAAGUUUGCAUUUCAUUAAUCUCUAAAAAGUUAGAUUGCAAUGCUAAGGUUGUGAGAAGUGCCAAUGUCUUCUUACAUUGUCAAAUUAGCUUGCUCUGGAUGCUAGGUCAUUGUUGAACAUCAUUUUCAAAAUUAAAGUGAAUAGCUGCACAUGUUUCAUCUAAUCAAACUUGUAACAAAAGGUUAGAUUUCAAUAUUUACCGAGUGUUCAGAGUCUUUGUAGGUAUAAUGGUGCAGCAGGUCUCCACACGAAAGUGACUGAAUUUGUCAGGGACAAAGACUGUAUUGAAUGCGGACCAGGUGUUCUUGUUCAACUGGACACCUCAAUUACUUUGCAAAAGGUUAUUUUCUAUUUCUUUUGAUUUGCUAGAAUUUGGUUUCUGUGAACAUAUCUUUGGAGAAAAUUUAGUUUCGGCGACAUUCAUGUUUAAGUUUCGAAGUCCUGCAUGUUAGUCUUUGUGGUUAUAUUCCUAAGAUAUAACCGGAAUCUAUUGCUCGUCGGAUGAAAGCUAUUGCAUGUCUAGGAGGCAAAUGCUAUACUAUGUUUUAGUUAUGAUCCUUUUGAUCUUCGCUUUAAAACCUUCCGAGUAGUGAUAUUUAUGUUCCUUGGCGUUGCUUUUGAUGUCAGUUCCGCUUGUUUUGUUUUCUAUUUUAAAAGGUUCGUGUAACUUAAGAAACAAAAAGGGGUUCUAGUUUCUAAUUCAACUUAUGGCAACAGUUCAUCGAUCUACUAGAAGAACACCCGAAAUUGCUAUUAUCGAAAGCAAGCAUCUCACACGGAGGGAAGAAUCUGUACAUGCAGGCGCCACCUGUACUGGAAGAGAUGACCAGAUCAAACCUAAGCCUUCCACUUUUUGAGCUAAUGGGUAAAGUUGCUAAGGAUGUUGUACAUGCGACUGGUACAACCACCAAGAAUGACAAAAAGACUUCGUGUCUGAGAAAGUUGCGUGUUAUUUUCGAAGGAGUUGAUGGGAUCACAGAUAUGGACACCGCAGGCGAGGCAUGAGUUUUUCACUGGGCCUAAUCAAAGACCAGAGGAGUUACAAAGCUUUUGAAGGUUCUCUCCCAAAUACGAUUGAAGCAAAAGGCGGAAUUGGUGAGGCAAGGUUGAAAACCAUUCCAAGUUGUAAAUUUUGUCUUCGAAUAUUAUUAUCUCCAAGGAUAAUUGAUCUUUUACUAUCACCAUGAGAGCAAUGAGAUUUUACAGUUUCAAGUUGCCCUCAACAAUUGUUUUGAUGAAAAAGAAUGACGGUUUUCCGGUUAUUCUAAUGAUUGAAUUAGUCCGUUUGGAAUUGGAAUUGCUUCAGUAAGAAUCCUUUUUCGGCUCUCCCUUUAGCCCUAUGUCUCUUUUAUCUUUAGGAGGUGGAGGUCUUCCCCGACUAGCAGUUUUUUUCCGAAAAAACUUCAUUUAUUUGGGCUCUUUUGCUUGUAAACGCUUUUGCUAGAGUGCUUUUAUUACAAACAUGUUGAAAAUUUUAUCAAAAAAUACAAGUGUAACUCGAGUAAUCACAUUCCAGAUGUUUCUUCAUAAAGUGCUUCAAGAUCUGGAAUCACUUUUUAAGUUUUUCUGUUAAACAUAGUAUACUACUCCAAAACAUGCUAUGGUAGAAGAUACUAGUGUAAUUUUCCAAAAUAUGAGGGAUGCCAUUGGAAGACAAGUUUGAAGAUGCUUUAUAUGAUUGAUUCGCAGCCAAGAAGAUCCAAAUAUCCGAAACUUGAUUACCAUUGAAAAAUCAGAGUAUGAAUGCGCAGCUGUCAAGUUAUCCACAACAAAAGUAAGAUCAUGGGAGCUUGAGGAUGAGGCUGUCUUUCCAAAUUAAAUAGUUCAAAAUCCCCAAUUAAUUUGAGGCCUAUGAGUCUAUGACCAGCCAACAUUCUACUCCGAGAAAUGAGGAAAUUUAGUAAUCCUCGUUUAACUAAUAUAAUAAUCAAACAUGUGAAGUAAAUUACCAAAUUAAACACCAUCGUAUUAUUGAGAAAAUCUACUGUGUCACUCUAAAGCUCAACCAAAGCCAACCAUGAAACUAUGAUUUUUGUUGGUUAAGAAAUCUAAUGCGUCAUCCAAGUACAUUUUUCAUGUUUACAAUUUCAUUAUCUGCUACAUAUCACGUGAUGAUUGCUACAAACACAAAGAAAUAUAUUCUAGAUCGUAUGAAUAUUGUAAACACAAAAAGAUGUAUCACAAAAUUCACGACGGUAAGAUCUUUUCAUAACUAUUUGUUAUGCUUCAAUCAAUGGUCUUCUCAGGGGUCAUGAUACUCCAUGCAACCCUAAUGCUCAACCAACGCCAGCCAUGAAACCGUGUGGAAAAAAGAGGUGGACCAAGCAACACCAUACAAUGAAACACGCAAGUGGAAAGAAAAGAGAACAAUAAUGCAUCGUACUCAGUUAAUGCUCUUGCAAUUGACUGACUGAUACAGUUUGUUCCUUGAAAAGGGAGGGAGAUGAAUGAAGAAGUGGGAAUAAACAAGCACACACAAAAGAUCAAAUUUAUCUGCCAACAAGUCUAUUUCUCUAGGCAUGAAUUCCGGCCCACAUGUUACUUAACCCUAGUGAACCAGUUGGUGCUAUUUGCACCCUUGGUUGAUUGAUUUUCAUGCAUACACAUCACACUAGCUCCUUUCAUUUUCAAAUAACUAACCCAUCAUUUUGGUUUUGAUUUUUUCUUCAUUUAAUGUCUUAUACAAGAUAUGCAUAUGAGGGCUAAUUGAAUAUGGAUGGAUGGUAUGUUUACUCUUCAAGGUACAGUAUUACUAAAUUUAUGUGUUUCCGAACUUAUGAAUUGGAUUCAGUUAGUGUAAGAACGUCAAUAACAAGUGAUGUUGUUAGCUAUCAACGAAAGCUUUCAUUAGUUGAGUAUUAAUGAUUUACUAAUAGAAUAGUAAGGCUUCUCCGUUGAGUGAAGCUGCAAUAAACACAAGUGGAUUAGUAACGAGAACAUGUUAACCAUAGUGAACCAAAUGGUUCUAUAUGCACCCUUCUUGUUUGUGAUUGAUUUUCAUGCGUACACAUCAUUCUCCUUUAAUUUUCAAAAAACAACCCAUCAUUUUGGUUUUGGUUUUUUUUUGUUUCUUCUUAUUUUUGCUUAUACAAGAGAUUCGUUAUAUAUAUGAUAUCUAAUUGAUGGAUAACUUAGUUUAUAUUUUAUGAUAUAGUAUCAUUAAAUGUACACGUUUUCAUGCUUAUAGUUUGGAUUUAUUCAGGAGUUAUGCUCUAAUUGUUGGCGAACUCUUCCAUAGGUUGGCCACUAAACGCUUUACUAAUAUAAUAGUAAGACUCUUACACUAAGAGAAGCUGCUAGCAACUCGAGUGCAUAUGACAAUUUCUCAUAAUUUAUCUACAUCCUUAAAAUAAUACUACAAAUGAACCAUGUUUGUUUUGUGUGGACAUGUAUGUGAAUCUUGAACAAUAAGCUAGGACUUUUUAGGGACAUGGAUGUGAGAGGCAGAGAAGUCAUUUACAAUCAAGUAUGCAAGUUUUGCAAGGGAUUUUGAGUCUAUCCUGGAUUGGGAUAUAUCUGGGUGUGGGUUGUUGCCGGCUGUUCCUCAUCUCUUAGAGCAAGUCCACCGGAGGUGGAAUAGCCCAGCACAAAGUACAAAAAUCAGGCUGGGAGCCAGUCAAUCCACUCCAGCCCACCCUUUUGCUUGGGACGCAGCCCAAGCUGGUCUCCAGGCCAACCCAAAUUUGACUGAGCAAGGAAUCGGGCAAUUGGGCUGGCGUGUGCCUUUCAUGCGGCCUUUAUGGCGAGUAGCCGACAGACGUUCACAGGUUGGGCUCACCUAGCAGGCGCACUCACACCCCACCCCCGGGUGGGCGACGUGGCGAAAUGUAUGCCGUUGGAUUUCCAACGGCUAGUUUUUGUAGACCGAUAGAUUUUCAACGGUAAAAAAAAAUUAAAUUUGACUUUUAAAAUGGACCAUCCGAUCACAGAUCAAAGUCCACGUUUUUCCCCCAAAAAAUUAAGAAUUUCACUUUAAAAAAAUACAUAAAUUUUUUAAUAAAUUUAGAUAUUAUUAUUAUUAUUAUUAUUAUUUUAUUUUAUAUAAAUUCAGAAAUUAAAAAAAAAUUAUUAUUUUAUAAUAAAAAAAAAUAAUAUUUUAAUAAAAUGAACUAGGCUAUUUUUUGUUAAGGAUGUAGAUGUUUUGGUCUAUUACUGUUCACUUAAGUGGAUAAAUACACAGAAUGCUGGCAUAAAGUCCUUAAAGAUGGACUUGCUCUUAUAGGGCAACUGGAUGAUUUGAUGACACACAACAUGAUUCUUGCGGGAUCAGUGGGACUUAAAUUACAGAUAAGCCAACUGCCGCCGUAGACCCCACCACUCCACAUGGCUGCACAAAGCCAUCCCCUUCCCUCCGCCCUUGCUUUUCCCCUAUUUAAAAUCCCUACAUAUUCCCUUUAGAUUUUAUCAAGAGAGCUUCAGAUUUGGAGACUUUUAAGAUCCUUCACUGAUCAGUCUUGCUUAUCACACAGAAAGACUCAAGUUCUAGAUUAAGCUGCAGGCAUGGAAGUUGCCAUGGAGAAACUAGAGGAUGACUUGUUCUUUGCAGAAUUAACUAAGCAAAUUUCCCUUCUAAUUAUGGAUGAUGAGGAGGACCCUAUUGCAACUUACCCUUCAGUUUCUCUUCAGGUAUACACUUCAUUUGCAGUAUUGUUUAUCUUUUUCUUCUUCUAUAGUGGAUACCGUAGCAACUUGUGGACGUAGCUCAUAUUCAUGCAAAUUGAUUACCGCAACCUCUUUUCUCUCUCUGCACACUAUUUGUCUAUUCCUCACAUUUGGAAUGAAUAUGCCAAGCGAUGUGCAGAAGAAGAAAAAGAGUGUGUGGUAACCAUGUUAAAUAUCGUUGUGUGUGAUUGUUUACUUUUGUGUUCUUGAUCGCGUUUAUAUCGUUUUAUACUUGUUCUAUCUGGGAGAUGAAGGGACUGAUUAAUUGUGCUUUGAAUUUACAGGCUUUCUCUUGUGCAAUCCAUCCACCUGCACAUCCUGUCCUUCUGUAUGAGCAUUCCUGCAGAAGAGAAACCAAAGGAACUGGAGUUUUCAUCCCCCAAUCAACACAUUCAAGAAGAAAGCACAGACAGGGAAGGUUUGCUUCAUACAACCCAAAAUCCCACGGAUCGUCACAAGCUGAUCACAACAAAAGGAUGGUUUCCCAAGUAUCUUCGGACUGCGCUUUUAGACCGAAAAAUGGAUGAGAUUUAGAACGAAAAUUAUCAAGAAGUAUUGUACAAGGCAAUAAAUUUCUGCUGAUAAGUCCCCUUGCCAAACAUGGCAAGCUUUAAGGCAAGGCAAGGAAAGGCUAUUUACUUUUGUUCCCUAGUUACUCUGUCAAGGGGAAGCUUACCAAAGGGUAUAGGUUUGUACCCUUUGAAUUGUACAUGUAUGGGGGAAUUUUAGGUUGGAUAUAGAAUGAGCUUUUCUCUAAUUCAUUAAAUCGUUUUAUGUUGAUUUCAAUUUGAUUAUUUGUCCAAAAUGUUUUAUGGCUUAGCUUAAUUUGAAUAAGUCAAGAUAUGUGAGUUACGUUAGUUGAUCAAGGCAAUUUGUCCACUUACUUGCAUCUAAGUUCAAAUUUUCCUCCCCGUAGUUUGGAAUAGUUUAGAAUAAGAAAAUAAUUUCUACACACUUUUUUCUCCAUUUUUAUACCAUGCUUGUUCUUGUUUGUUGAUUUUCUUUAUUCUAUUUGAUGUAAUGGUCAGAAAUAUAUAAGCAUAACGUGUAAAUGUGGAAACAGAUGGUGUGUUGAAAUCAAUUCCGCUAAAAUACUUGACUUGCCAAAAAUGCAAGUUCGAUUGAAGGCAACAUAAAUGCAUGAUAGAUCUAAUGAGAGUUACAUUUGUAGUAAACACAAGUACUUCAACCAAGUUACCCUAGUUGGUGAGCACAAACCCAAUUGGGAAAAUAAGGAUCUUGGCACUGAUUGAGGUGCAACAUUCAGACAACAAAGCUUGGUAGCUUGCUGGAUCUGCAAAUUGGAAGAAAACAUCUUGGAUUGGUUUUAUGCUUGGAAUUAUGGAAAGGAAAAAAACAGAUGAUGUGGAAGUGACAAGCAUGUGAGCUAUUUGGUUGGUUGCAAAUCAACCUAAAAGGAAA
rnacentral:lncRNA from 1 species